rnacentral:lncRNA from 1 species
CUUCUUCAUACUAGUUGAUUGAUGGUGAUUGUAUCCCUUUCCUUUAUUAAUAGUUUCAUGAUGAGUCGCUAGACUCUUAGUUGUUAGUUUGGGGUGUUGUGAUGUGUUAGGAUGAUCCCUCAUGAUGAGGGAUUGGAUACAUGUUGGAUAUGGAUUAUGGUAUAUGAGAAUGCUUGGACUAUGGUUAUUGCAACUUAGAAUGUGUUAUGGCUUGUUCUAGGUCAAAUGCACUCUUUUAAUUACUUAAUUUUGCUUGACUUGAGUAAGUGUGAAGUCCAAGAUUGAAGUAAGGUGUGUGUGGACCAAAAACACACCCCAAUUCAACCUUUAGUGUGAGGCUUCUCUUAGUGGCAUUUUAUCGAACACCUUGAGUGCAUUCCAGUAAUCACUUAGGUAGUGAUAAUUUAGGUGAUUGGAAUGUUUGGGGGUGUCAAAUAGUGACUUAGCACCCUUGUCAAGUGUUUCUGAUGCCAUUAAGAGUCUUUUAGGACCUAAACAUUUUGUCGAACACUUUGUGCUCACUACCAAUUGGAUUGAUCACUUGCCAAUUGGUAGUGGUAAUCCAAUUUAAGACCUUGGAUUGGACUCCUACGAAUUUUUAGAAGAUGAUGAAACCAUAAAGGUUGUCCAUUGUAUCCAAUCUUUAUUGUGAAUCGGAUUUGAGUGCAAAAACAACACCCAAAGUCUAGCAACCCUCCUCUCCUUGUGUUUCACCUAUUCACUCUCAUUGGUUAGUUCGUUAGCUUAAAUUAGUUUGAAUUACUCUUGUGGAUGAUAAGUACUUUAGUGGAUAACCUAGAGAACUAGCAUUUUGAACCUUUGUUAGUUUAUACCGAACUUAAAUAAUUGAGUAUAGGUUGGUGAUCUGUUCCUCAAGGAAUUAAUCACUUGAGACAUUGGAUUUGUGAGUUGUCCCUUUUCUUAGUCGAUCAAGUUUUGUUUGGUUCUUUUAUUGAGGAUCAGGAUCAAACCAGCUUUUCGUGGGGGGUUUGUUAAUCAUUGCUUUGGCCUUUUACUUUCCACGGCAAAACAACUUGCAAUGCCUUUCCCAUCAUACGUGGUCCUAAUUGGUAGUACCAAAACAAGGAUGACUGAGAACAUGCCAUUCGUAGAGGGAGUAAAGUAAUUUAUAGUGGCACAAAAGAACCGAACUGCUGAGAAAAAAACCAUCUUGUGGAUAAGAGUUUUGCCCCCCUCUACAGCCGUUGCACAAAAAACUAUCGCUUGAGUGGGGUCGCCGGAUUCUUCGCCACUCGUUGGAUUCUUCAUUGCCGGUUUCAGAGAGAAAGUGAGAAGAGUUGAUGAGAGAGAGUGAGCAAAUAGAAUGAGAAGAUGUGGUAUGAGAGAGUGAGAUGAGAGAGUGAGAAAAGAGAGUCUGCAAUUCGAUUUGACAUAGGAUGUGACUGUACACACCCACUUAAUUUAUCAUUAAUUUAGAACGAAAUAGUUUCAAAUUUUCGUUCACAAUUCAAAUUUUAAAAAUAGAAAAAUAUUCUCUCUCCCUCGACUACCCCCGCAUGAUUAACAGCCAUAGAUCUCCUAAACGAUUGAAAGACGUCAUCACGGCCGUCGGAUUUUCAUUUCCACUUGCGCGGAAAGAAGGUGGCUUCCGCCUUUUAGAAAAAUUGGUGCAAACAAGAUGUGGAUAGAAGCAUGAGAGAGAAGGUCUUAGAAGAAAGGUUUAUAUCAAAAUUUCCAAAAAAUAGUGAAAAUGGAAGAUAUUUAAAGCCUUUAUGUUAAAUGGAGUCUUAAUAAAUUUCUAGUGAAAAGUGAGGGAGCUGUUGAUUUGGCUACACCAACAAAGCCAGGCUUUUUUAUUUGUUUUUGCUUAGCUGAUGAUGAGAUGUUUUUUUAUUGGACUUGUAAUUCACAAUAUGAAUGGUCCUUUUUUUAGUAACACACACACACACACAUAUAUAUAUAUAUAUAUAUACGAACUUAAAGCAAAACCUAUUCAUUUUGACUUUACGUGAAUGCAUGGAAUUAUUAUAUUUAAGGAUUACCAUUUAUCAGAAUAAAUUUAUAUAAUAAACUAAGAACAUUUGUCCAGCCUUGNNNNNNNNNNNNNNNNNNNNNNNNNNNNNNNNNNNNNNNNNNNNNNNNNNNNNNNNNNNNNNNNNNNNNNNNNNNNNNNNNNNNNNNNNNNNNNNNNNNNNNNNNNNNNNNNNNNNNNNNNNNNNNNNNNNNNNNNNNNNNNNNNNNNNNNNNNNNNNNNNNNNNNNNNNNNNNNNNNNNNNNNNNNNNNNNNNNNNNNNNNNNNNNNNNNNNNNNNNNNNNNNNNNNNNNNNNNNNNNNNNNNNNNNNNNNNNNNNNNNNNNNNNNNNNNNNNNNNNNNNNNNNNNNNNNNNNNNNNNNNNNNNNNNNNNNNNNNNNNNNNNNNNNNNNNNNNNNNNNNNNNNNNNNNNNNNNNNNNNNNNNNNNNNNNNNNNNNNNNNNNNNNNNNNNNNNNNNNNNNNNNNNNNNNNNNNNNNNNNNNNNNNNNNNNNNNNNNNNNNNNNNNNNNNNNNNNNNNNNNNNNNNNNNNNNNNNNNNNNNNNNNNNNNNNNNNNNNNNNNNNNNNNNNNNNNNNNNNNNNNNNNNNNNNNNNNNNNNNNNNNNNNNNNNNNNNNNNNNNNNNNNNNNNNNNNNNNNNNNNNNNNNNNNNNNNNNNNNNNNNNNNNNNNNNNNNNNNNNNNNNNNNNNNNNNNNNNNNNNNNNNNNNNNNNNNNNNNNNNNNNNNNNNNNNNNNNNNNNNNNNNNNNNNNNNNNNNNNNNNNNNNNNNNNNNNNNNNNNNNNNNNNNNNAGAUAAGUAAGAAGAGAAAAAGUUACUAAAUUGAGUGAUAAGAUUAUAAUGAAACAAUCAUUGAUGAUGGAAAUAGAGGCAUGAUAAAUGUUUAUUCAUAUUUAUUAGAGCCAUAAAUUUGAAAAGAUAAAAUAAGUAAAAUAGUAAAUAUGGAAAGUAAAUAAUGUUGUUCACAUAUAACUUAAAUAUAAUAAAAAUGUUUUAUAUCUUAAAAUUCAAGAAUUUAAUUCAAACAAACUACUUCAUCCAAAAAGUACAUAAGAAAAAUGAACAAAAUAUUAGUACGUACUUACUAUUUAAACGAAGUCUACGAAAGUACUUAAAUCUAGCUAGCUAACACUAGUCCUCCCUAUCAUCAUCGUCGUCACUGUUCUCGGUAGAGAAACUCAGAGCAUUGGAUUUUUUUUGCUUUCCACUUGAUCCAUUGUCAUCACUAGAAGAAGAGUGUGAUGUCGUACCCGAUUUACCUGUAGAAGCUGUAGGCAUCGAUUCACCUUGGUUACUCCCACCCUGCUGUGAGUGUUGAGACGAUGGUUGUGCAAACUCACUUUGGAAGCUGCUGGCAUCUUGUGCUAACUCGGAGGUGGGGGGCAUUCAUAUUGUUUUCCACGAGUCGGGUAAUGAUGCUCAUUACCCCUGUAGAAUAUCGCUGGAACUGCUCCAUUGGCACACUAUCAACGGACCUAGAGGUCGAUGUAGACAUCUUUGAGUUAGAGCUAUCAAAGACCUACAAAAGAAGAACAAAAUUACCUAAGUUUACAGAAAUUUCAGCAUGGCUAAUCUAUAAGUACAACCACUACAUAUCCUUCAAACUGCAAAAUCAACAAAUUAUAACACAUUUCUACACUACAUUUCAAAUCACAUCCCACACUUACAAGCUUCAUUCAACAACAGAACUGGUCCAAGUCUGAACCUAAUGUGCUUCAUUCAUAUAGAUCUAAACUAAGUUCAUAAUGUUGUCAGUGAUGGUACCGGCCCAAAUCCAAGACCACGAACACGACCAAGGUGCUCCUUACCCUAAAAGAGACGACCUACAACAUCAUUUGGGCUAAUGGUUGUAUGUGUCUCAGGGUCGUUGAUGUACCGGUCAACUUGUUCCUAUCAACAAAGUGAAACUAUUAGAGAAAAUCUAAGGAUCGAGGAAUUCACUUACCACAGCUAUUCUUGUCGGACUGUUCAGAUAUCCACCUCCUUUCUUCUUAUGAGUUUCUCGAUACAACUCUCCUCAGGUAGGCUCUCUUUUCAACUCAUUCUCCUUUUUUCCAUAACUUUAAUAUAACAAACAAUGAUAAAGAAAUAACAUUAACUAAAACUCAGGAUUGGUAAAAAUUGAUUCACAUCUCUUUUGACUUUGCCAAGAAACUCUUGGACCCUGAAGUGUGGUAAAUAUUUUGCUUCCCUCGAUUCUCAGUGUUCUUGGAAGAAUAUUUCUAAAAACAACAAAUAAACAUUUAACAAACGAGAAAACUAACUUGAGAUUAUAACUAAGUCAAUCUAAAAUACAAAAAUUCGUACCUGAAUUUCCUUUCCCAUCCUAUAGUUGAUGAAAUUCUCCCAUUGACUCGGAUUGAUUUUUUUGGUAUCCUCUUGUAGUUGUCUUCCUUUGUACCCUCCUUGUCGCACUUUUUAUCCCAAAGCUUUUGCCAAUCUUUCCUCCACUCCUUCGCAAGGUCUCUCAUAACGUGCUUGCUGAUAGUUUUUUCAUCGGCAUCAUUCCAACAUAAUUUUUGCUACAACAUGAUUAGGUAUGUACUUCAAUAUUAGCAAUCUACAACAUCUAACAUUAUGUAGGUACCAUUACUAAUAAACUAUAGACUUACCCCUAUGAAAUUCUUGAACACGUGAUCCUUCUCCACUGUGGUGACCUUAUGCCAGAUUUAGCACCAAUAUCGAAUUUUUGAUUCUUCACUAGCUUUCCAUUCACUUGUUGUAGGAAGCAUCCCUCCUCGCCGACAGGCACCCCAUACUUGUCUAACUCCAACACCACCUUUGAGCCAUCUCGACACAAUACAUUCCAUUUACGAGUUUUUAUACUGUCCGUUUAACAGCGAUUUUCGACUGAACCACUGUUAAGUGACCAACUAAUCGAAACGCUCCGUUUAAAUUAAGUUUAACAGCGGUUACAAAGCCCUGCCAACUGACUUCUGUUUAACAGCGGUUGUAUUUCACCGUUAACUGACUGAAAUUUAACAGGGGUUUUAAAACCCCUGUUAAAUUUCCUCUGCUAGAUACUGUAUUCCUUGUAGUGUAACCUCACUACCUACCUAGUAGUUUAGACUGCAUUGUCGCCUCAUGCUUUCUAAAACCUAGAUGGUGUUCAAAUCAUUGUUUUAAAACUGCUCCUACAAUGGAUUAAUCUAAUCGGUUAUCUCUCGAAGUGAAACUUACUAACUUAGAUGUUGGUUUUAAUUUGGCGCUCUCUAGAGACCUACAUAAGUCUAACACGACCUUAUUCAAGUUGAUCAUGCAAGAACAAGGUGAAAGAAUCAAAAUCAAACAUAAACUAAGAAUCGAAUCAAUCAAAACAUCUAAUCAUUCAUCUCAAAUCACCUAAGGUUCAUAUAUCUAAUCUAAACACGGAAGAUCUAGAUACUCAUCGAAUAAUUAAUUUCAUAUAUUUAUGGAUUCUUAACAUACUAUUAAACAUACCAUUAAUUUAGAAAUGAAAUAAUAUAUACAUAUGUACUUUAAUCAUAAUUUACCCGUACCGUAUUUAUCAGCUACUCUUAUGUGACGAGUAGAUAUGUAGAGGAGACAUAACCAGUUAGUAAAGCUCUUAUACGAAUAAGAAACCUCAAUAUUGGUCCAUAUUAAUUGUAUUUAUGUAGAUUGAAAACAAAAAAUAUAUAUUUAUGUAGAUUGAUGGGUAUUAUAAGUACCUAUAAGACCAUAAUAUAUGAGCGGAAUUCAAGGAUAACCCACGAAUACUUAAUAAUUUAAUUUACGAUUUCAACUCCCAUCUUGUAUAAAAUAUUAAUGAUAUUAUGAGUACACAUGCAUUAUUAAAAAAAACAAAAUGGGUAUGGGUAUUAACCAAAUACCCGCGCUACCUAUUGUGAAACAUACUUCGCCUAUUUUUUAAAACUUAUAAAUAAAAGUAAUAAUUUGUAAUUGAAAAGUUUUCUCGAACUAAAAAUAAUUAGCUGAUCAAAUGGUAAUCUGUAUUGGCUUUAGGAACCAAGUGAGGAACCAAGUGAGGUGGAAAACCAAUCAACAUAAUAGAAAGGAAAGCUUUUCAAUUCAGCACUCGACAGAAGAGCAUCAAUUGGAAAUGAUUUUACUUUUAUCAUUUAUUAGUGGUAACUAGUCAAUUUGGAGUUCUGUUGUUUGUCUGAAUCAGGUCUAACAAUACAGCAGCCAAAGCCAAAAAAAAAAAAGGCCAUGUCCCUGACACCAUCCUUGUAUGCACCAUGUUUGUAGCCUUCAGAACCUGAAACCAGCCAUUCCGUGAAGUCGGCAAACCAUAGUUUUGUAUUCGAACCAAGUUGCAGGAACACCAAGGUUUAGUGCAGUUUGCUUGUCCUGUUCCAACUUCAGAUUCGACCACACAUUGAUCUAGAUGAUUAAUGCUAGUAGCUACUCCUCAAUUUGGGGGGUGGCCAUGAUCACCAUCGAUAAUAUGAAUGACCGUAUGUCUUCCAAUUGUCUUGUUGAUUCCUUCGGUACCCGCUGCUCCCAAAUGGAGAGCUGUACUUAGUCUCAGCAGUAGUCCUUCUAUUGGAGCUGUUCCCUUGGUUUUCUUUUGAUACUUUCCGGAUUUCCUCUUCAAGAUCGUACUUGGAUCUCUGCAUAGUUAUCAGGAGGGACAGUUUUAGACUUCUUUUGCAUUUCAUGAAAAACGUGCAGAAUGAACUACUCUAAUAGUAUAUGCAAAGAACAAAAGAGGUUCCCGUUCUACAAGUACGAUUGGGGCGGCAAAAAUCACACCAUCUAGAGGCAGCCAGGCACAAGUCUUAUGAAAGGCAAUGAUUGUAAAUAGAGCUGUUGAAGAUUGGAAUAACCUUCGUCGAGUCUGAGAGUACGGCAUAUGCUUCUCCAAUCAUUUUGAACAAUUUAUCGGCAUCAAGGUGAACCUUAUCAACGAUUUCCUUCCACAGCCCAUCACCACUUUCAGAUCGUGCAAGAAACUGACCAGCCUAUAUGCAAGAAAUACAGAAUCAUAUUACACACUUAGUAAUUAUGACAACAGCACACGCUAUACGCUAAGCAGAUAAAUUUACAGACACAGAAACCCUCAAACCUUAUCAGGAUGAUGUCUCAGUGCUGCCUUACGGUAUGCCUUUUUAAUAUCGGCUGCUGAGUCAGAUUCUUUAACACCCCUGUGAUCAUGACAAAGUACUUAUGAACUUGAUAUAGGGAGCAAUUUACAGCAUUCAUUAUUAUGUCUCGAAUUCAGUCAAUGAACUUACAGUAUCUUGUAUAAAUCCAGUGGGAUUCCCUUUUUUGCUUCUUCUUCCAUUGAGGACAAUCUCCGACGAUAUUGCUUUAGCUCUCUUGAGCCGCCGGUAGAUUUCUGAGGUGUGCUAGACUGCCCAACAUCAUAUUUAUUUUCCCGAAUGGCGAUAAAUCUUUGAAGAUCACUUGAUGAUUGACCAUAAUCUCUGAUCAUCUCAUGCAAGGUGGCUCUCCUUGAGACAGCCUAUUGUUCCAGAAAAUAAUAACUGUCUGUUGCGUGUGCUGAAGAAGGAAAUGAUCAAGCAAAGAGGGAAAUUAGAAUACAUACCUUUGAGUAACUUUCAUCAAGUGCUACCGCUAGACUGCAGUCAGCUAUGGCAUCGGCUAACUUGCCCAUAGCUUGGAAUGCGGCAGCACGGUUACAGAAACAGAUAGCAGUAAAAGGGCGUGAUUCAAUGUUGCUAGAUAAAGCAGCUGAGUACUGCUCCACAGCUUCUUCAUAGUUUCCACAUUGGAAUGCAUCAUUCCCAGCACUCUGCAACCGGAAAAGAUGUUCAGGAACAAGGGUGGAAUAGAACUCAAAAUUAUAAACUACCACACUCUAUCAAGAAGAUGCCAGAACUAAUACCUUCCGAUUUAGUAGAUCACGGAUGGUUGCAAUUAGAGAAAUUGAGGAUUCGAACAGCCCACUUGCAUGCCUGCAUGAUUGAAAUAAUGAGAAACAAAGAUUGAAAACCUGCAUUCCAGAGAUAAAGCUUGCAUAUCCAUAUAUCAAGUACUAACUUGUCGCUGAUGGGUCCCAUCUUCUCUAUCUUCCUGAGUAAAUCAAGGGCAUCAUCUAACUUCCCCAAAUUAAAGUAGCAUUUUGAUAUCAACCGCCAUCUCCACAGCCUUGGGAACGAGCACCUAUGAAUAUCGUCGACUGCUAAGCCAUCAUUGCCCAUGGAAAUAAAAUUUGCUUCGCCGGCAGGAAGAGUCUGCUCACACAAUUUAAUUACCUCUUCAUAUUUCUUUAACUGCGAGAAACCACCAGAAUGCAUGACGCCAUGAGUAGAAAAGCAACAAAUAAUAUUUGGAUGCACCCCACUGUAUCAAACCAUUGACUUCUAUCUUUGACCUAAUUACCCAGAAAAGAGAAAUGCAACAGAUAAAGGGGAAGGUGGAUAAGAAGUCGGUUGAAAGAAGACGAACCAUGAACGUGAAUUCUGCUUUGAAUUGCAGCAAUCUUUCUGAAUAUGGACUAAGCAAUAAAGCUUCAGCAAGUAUCUCUAACGCAGACAAUGAAGCAUCAGGUGUUUUUUGUUCCAAUAGCACUAUAGAACGAUCAAUACAAUCAGCAACUUUCUGCAAGCAACGUAAAAAACGCCCCAAUGAGCUACAUAAUCAUCUCCCAAUGAGAUUAUGCGUAUAAACAACCAUAAGUCAUAACUAAUACGCAAGCCACUAAGUCAUCCACUGCGCUCAAAAUGUGAGAUCAAAUUAUCCAUGGGAAAAAAACAAUGUAACCUUCCAUUCAGACCUAGGUUAGUAUAAGCAGAUAGGGAAGUUAACAUGGGAACAAGUAUCAUGUUUGCUUGCUUGAUUAUAUUGGAUGGACUAAUGGAAGAAAUUUUCAUCAUCAGGUUUUGCAUUGAUGCUACAGAAAUUACUUUAUAUUUGGAGAUGUACCGAAGAUAGAAAUGAGGGAAGCUUCACAAGGAAUCAAUUGAUAAAAACACAUGUUAUCCAUCUAAAUUCUAACAACUGAUACCUGAGCCUUUUGAACCCCACUAGCUGCUUCUAUAGUGAUUCUCCGAUCCAAACAAACACCAUUGCUGGCUUCCAUGCAUUUAUUGAAAUGGUGCAGUGCAUCGUUGACUUCCCCCAGCAGGAGAUAACAACUAACAUCAGAAGAAACCCAGAAAUGAAUCACAUUUUUGGCAUUUAUUAUUUAUAAUAGGAACUGGUAAAGCAUCACAGCAUAUCAUCUUUCAAAAUAGAUUCCAAAAUAAUCUACAGAACCACAUUUAAACCAUAAAUAUAUCAAAUCCUUACUUUGCAGCUCUCAUCUGAGCUUUAAGAAAGCUGGGAUUCAAAGAAGCAGCCAUCAGGCUAUCUUGUAAGGCUUCCCUGAUAUUGCCAAGAGAUAACCGUGUUGCUGCCCGGUUGCUAUAACAAAUAACAAGAGGCUCUAGGCAUGCUGAUAACUCAGCACGAGGAACUGAAUUUAUGCCUUGUGUGUAGAAGUCCUCAGCUUUUGAGAGAUCACUAGCUUUAUAAGCUUGAUUUCCUCUGCAAACAAGUCAACCAUUAUAUCACUGAAAAUUCUAAUAUAGAAUGCCUAACACGAUAAUUAUAAUGGAAUUCUACGAAUGUGGUGGAAUCAACCUGUGUCGCCAUGCUUCACAUGCUCCGACAAUGGCAACAGUUGGUGGUACAAAAGGCCUUGUCACCUGAUCCUUCAAGUCAGGGUUGUUCCCCAUAAUUGCUUCUGAAAAUAAAUGGCCAGUUUUCUCUUGUGUACUGUUUUUGUCCAAAGAUGAAUUUGUGGUGUUAUCGGUCACAUUCUUCAGAGAUGAUGGAUGAAGCUUCACAUCGGGGCUUGAUGAAAUAACACUUGAUCCAUUGGGUUUCCUCCGGUUUUUCUUUUUAUACCGAUGCCUCUGUUCAGGUAAAUUAUUUUCGAAACAGCCAGCAGCAAAAGAAAACAUCCCUGUUUUCAUUUCUAGUUCAGGAUCGCAAUGAAAUUGCACCUGCUUGCUACUCUCCUUACUUAAAGUGUCCGCAAUCACACCACUACUACUGUUACCGUAGACCGGUUCAGCAUCAGAACCAGAGAGGGUAAUUCUUGCCCCUACAAGAAAAUCAGUCGAAUGCCUUUCAGAAUGACAGUCAUGACUUCCACUGACUUCCUCUCUUGAUUUACCAUGAUCUUCAGCAUUCAUGGUUGGAUGUGACUCAGAGUCAUUUGAUUCAACAUUAUAACUAAAAGUAAAUUGCUCUUCUGUUGCAUUACCGUUGUAUGGUGAAAAAUCCAUCGGCGAGGAACUUUGUGGGGAUUUCAAAUUCUCUUUGGGGCUGUCAUCAUGUUUUACAUGAGCUUGAUCAGGCAGGUGAUUAUGCUGGGAAGGAUGCUUCCUCCUCCCUAUAGAUGGCUUCAACUUCUUAUCCCUUGUCAACCUAGUUUUUGAAGUAGGAUCCAAUUUCUUAUUGGAUUUGGGGAAUAAGCUUGCUUUUAAACGAGCAGGAUCCCAUUCUGGUGUUCUGAAUUCUGUAACUGGAACCCGUAAUGCAUCAGAAGAACUUGUUGAACAUGAAUUUUUUUCACCUCUCACAGGCUCCACAUCAGGUGCAUCUGAACCUUCAGAGCCAAUUCCAACCCAUGAAGAUGAAGAAGUUGAAGCCGCUUGGCUGAACUCUGAGUCAUCACUAACUUGACCAUGCUCUAUUCCGCCCUCAAAGGAAGAACUUGCAAAUUCAGACUGCAUUCUAGAUGGCUCUGAGCUAGAAUAUCCAUUUGAAGCACAAGGCAUAGCAGGAUUCUGCUCCUUGUUUAAUCCUAACUUCUCACUUUCAGUAACCUCAGCAACUUUAGCAUCUGGCAUACUCCCUUCACAUGUUUCACCAUUCACACUGCUAGAAGAAAAACCGGUAGCUACUUUACUACCUCCGAAUGCAAAUGAAGGAACACUGUCAUGACACGAAUAUUUGUCGUAAGCUUCAUCAAGAUGCUUAGGUUUGUCAAUGUUCAACUUGUUCAUCUUAUCUGGGAGAUCACCAACAAUGUUUGUGCUAGCAUUAUCAAAAUCUCUAGUAUCUUUGCAUGAUGUUUUAACCGUACAUCCAUCUGAAAAUGUAUCUGUUCCAUUAUCGACGUGACAACUAGCUCCACUGGCAACUCCAAUGCCAGCUGAAUCUGAAGUUUCAACAGUUUGAUUCUUUUUUCCAUUCAAAUUCAACUCAGGACCCACCCUGCGUAUCCCGACCGAAAUCAAAACUGAUGGUGGAACCGAAAGGGCUAGGAUCGUGGGAAGAAGCCAUGGUAGAGUCGAUAUCCAAUGCCGGCGGGGGCAUGGAAAUUCGACAACAAGAGAGGAGUGAUUACUUGUUAGGGGUGUCUUCCGCUAGCUGUUGGGGUGGGUAUGUGGAUGGAUUAGGGUUUUGCUUGGUUGAGAAGCAAGCAAAGGCAGAAACGGAAAUGGGAGUCGAUUUGAGACUGGAGAGUUGUGAAGAAAAGGGUUUUUGGAUUUUCUGUCGACCAAAUAAAUAUGCCGUUGCUUCCUCUUAUUUCUGUGUCUUCUUCCCUAAUUUUUUUUAAAUUCUCUGCGAGAGCUGCAAAUUGACCGCCUCCUCGACUUGCCGGAGGAGAGAGACAGAGUGUGUGGGUCUCAGGUGAGUAAAUGGGACCCGACAUCGGAACGGAGGCCCGGAAUUUUUAGCUUCGGCCCAUAAAUUUCAUUGCGUCCAGUUUAAGAACACCAUCAUUUCAUUUGAGACAAAACAUCCAGAGGUUGUUUGUUUUUCAGAUUUGGAAUAGGGUAAUUUGAAAUCAUUAAUAAUUUAUUUUUGCAAACAAAAUGGGCUGAAUAAAUUCAUUUGGAAAAAGACUGAAUUGCCCUCAAGCCCAUUUACAGAAUCAUUCUUGGCUGAAACAAAUUUCUGUUGGAAGAAUACACAAAUUUUAGACAGGUACAACCAAAAUCAUUUCAUUCUUGAAUUCAAAUUUAGUUACACUUUACGAUGUACAUCCAUAUGCAUUUUUUUUAAGUGAAUCUAUCAGCCCCUAUGUCACUAUAUGUAUUCUUUCUUUUUGAGCGAAUCUAUCAGGUUUUGUGCCACUUCGGGCUCUCCCAUACGGACUCGUCCCCACCAACAUGAUUCAUUACAGGUCAUUGGUUGUCCAUACCCUUGCAGGCGAUGAGGCGAACAUACCAAGACCUCCUUGACCUCUAUGUCAUGGAGCUUGUGGAUGUUCGUAAUGUUUGUGCUUGGUGUUUCCUACAGGUAUUUGGCAGGUGGACAUCAAGGGCAAUGCUAAGGUCAUUCUCUCCCGAUUCACUCACUGGUGCAGGCGUUAUGGAGGGUAGCGAUGCAUCAAUUCAGAGAUCUUGGCCUCUCUGACUACUUGUCUUUGAUUCCAUGUGCAGAUUGAUCAACGGUCUGUUAAUGGAGUUGCCCACUUAGUGGUGCGUGAAAGGCUCUAUAAUAUCUCUCAGAUUGUGAUCUCACAGCCUGGGUCGAUUCUUAGAUUAAAUUUGCUUGCUUGCUAUCUUGAUCUCUCCCGUUGGGAGCUACCUAUGAAAAAAAAACCAAAAUCAUUCAAUCAACAUCCAUGGAUUAUCAUCUCGGGUUUAACCAGACACAUAAUAUUCAAUCAGAAAUUUAAACUCAGUAGAUAAUAUUCAUACAAAACAACACUUUAAACCCAACAUGACCACUAAGAAUAUACCCCAAAAUGAAGGUCAACAAUUCAAUUCGUCCUCCCAAAUAUCGACUUCAUAGUCAUGUUACCCCAUUUCACUAACUCUUUAUUUCAAGUAUUGACUACCCGUUUCUACUAUUUACUUCUAACAACUUAAAAAUAAAAUAGAGGCGAUCAUUAUUACCCCUCAGUCUAUAAAAGAUCUGUAAAUUUCUAACAUUUUUGUCAUAAGAGAGAAAGAUACCAACGUCAAUAGUCUAAAAAUGAAUAAACUGAAGUAAGAGCCUGGAAAUGACAUUGUAUAGUACACUACUGAAACAUAUGAACAAUCUGAUGAUAGUAUCUAAUCUAUUAUAAUCCAUGUCCAACCAAAUGCAUGCAUCUAGAAUCAAACAUUAUGAGGAUAGUAGAAAGGAAAAUAUGAAAAACAGACAACCAAUUAAUCCAUUAUUCCUCGUUCAUGCUUGUGGAGAAUUCAUCAAGUUAUAGUGUAAGUAAUCAUAAAUAUGAAUAAUUACCUGGUGACGAGUCAAACCGGGCAGAUUCUCAAAGUUCUCGAUAAUUGAUCGUUUCAUUUGUUCAGUACUAAUGUCCUCCCCACACGGUUUGUUAAUUAUUUUUUCAACUACUUUGUCCAUAGCUAGCCUAAGCUCAAUCACCUCCACCUUACGAUCCUCGAUGGAUGAUUCUAGCUGAAUCCUACGAGCAGGAGUUCUACUAGGCCUAUUUCUAGAUUCAGCUCCAACAUUCGAUUCCAAGUUAGCACGUUCAUCAUUAGGAACAAAGUUCGGUAGAGUUGGCAUGUCCACAAUUUCAUUCAAGACAUUCUGCAUGAAGUGAGUCGUGGCCUCGUCAUCAAGCAAACUCUCAUUGACCGAGGAAAAACCAGAGUCAUUCAACGAAGUAUUGUGCUCGUUAGCACCGAUAGCUCCUUGUCCAGUUGCACCUCCACUCCCAAACACUAGCAACAAGUCAUCAUAUUAUGGAUAAGGCAAGCCAUUCAGAUCACGACAAUUGGAAUUAUUCGGUUAAGUGUCAACAACAAAGUCAGCAAUAAACCAUAGAAUCAGCAGAGAACUAAACACAACAUGUCAAUCAAAUGAGCACAUAUUGAAUGAGGUCUGGAACACCACCCAAACCAGGUCUUCGUCUUCCCAUCUAGCAAUUCUAGAAGCGAUUUUAUGCUUUCAAAGACUAAGAAUUUCUAAGAAUUUCCGAGAAUAGGAUUAUUUGAGAAGGAUCGAAUGGACUAAUCUGGAGCAAGCUCAAAUCAAGAUUACCCAGAAACUAGGAGCAACCAACAAAAGCAUCAAAACUUAAAAAGUGAAAAACUAACCUUUGUGAAGUCAUCAAAAAUUUCAGGUUCAACAACUGGCCAUUUCCUUGUAUCAUCCCAUUCCCAACCACUAUUACUCUUACAUGGUUGGUAGGCCUGAAACUUUUGCUUGAUUAUCUUCAACUUCGAUUUGAUAUUUGGGUACGCAAGUACCCCACAUCCAGGUGACUUGAGCUCCAUCAACAUUUCAAGUUCUUUGAGUGCCCCGCCUUUAAAGCAACAUACAUUGACCAUUCUUGUCAUAACUGUUGGCGAAAACCAAGUUGUAUCCCUAAGUAUGGCUCAUCGCAUCUUCAAUACUCUAAAUGUCUUCUCAAUCACAUUUCUAGCUUUAGCAUGUUUGAGGUUAAAGUACUCUUUCGGUGUGUUCGGACCGUUCGUACCCCACUCAUUAAGGUGAUAUCGUUGCUUUCGAGAAGGUGUUAAAAAACCUUCAGAGUUCAUGUAUCCAAGGUCACACAGGUAGCAGGUUCGUAAUGAACAUAAUUAUUCAGCCAUUAGCAAAAUGCUUAUUUUAUAACGAUGAGAUGUUAUCUUAUCCAGAUUAUAUUGUUCUUACCUUUAGGGACUUUUAGUCCAUUUGGUCUCGAAAAGCAUCUCGAAGCACCCUCCAUCAUGAGCCGACCCUUCCCAACCAGAUAAACAGUAAAUAAACUCCAACUUUGGAUUACAGACACCCAAUUCAUUCAUGGAGAUAUUACUCUUCCGAUCCCAAUAUCUAGUUUAGUCUUCCUUCCUAACCCGAAUCUUAACAUGAGUUCCAAUAGUAAGUAGAACUUGAUGCAACUGCUUAUGAAUUGUCUGGCCAGAUCGACCCAAUUACAGUUGCAAUAUCCGGUUCUUUUCGUUAUGUGCCAUCACACUGUUUUCUAAUUAACUCGCAAUUCAUCCUUAUAGCAUUCAAACUUUUGACAUCUGAUUUGGUAGUUGCAUUAGCAAUGAAUUCCAACCUUCUUCUAACUCGCUCAAAAUCUAUAUGCAAGGGCUCGUUUGGUUGUUUAAUUUCCAUAACAACUUCAACAAUUACAAUGAUCAAUUUUAUCAAGAUUGUGAUGUACAUUGUGUAAAAUAAAAUCCUGAUGCAACUCUUUCAAUUUUUCAGUCAAAAUCUUAUACCACGUAAUUCAAAUCCACUUUGACUAAAAUUCAAUCCAAACGCAAUUGCUAUGUUUCUAUUUUAUGGCUUGUAUUUCUUAUAUGUAAUAACUUCAUUUUGAGGUUGUUUUUUCAAUUAAUUAAUAACAUUUUAUUACUCAGUUCAACCCAUUGAGCUCGCUUGAGUAAAAUCAAAAACAGUUGCAAUGAACAAAUUCGAUUUUAGAAACACUCAUAACGUAAGCAAGAUAUAGAAAGGAACAUAGAUGAAGGCAAAGACGAGAAGAUAAGGUCAAGCGAAGCUACAAACAUGUGAAACAUAAAAAAUUGGCGAAGCUGCAAACAUAGAAGUUUUGAUGAGUAGAAAAACUGAAAUUAAGGCUAAUUUAUAAUUGAAAUUAAGUUUUGAUGAGUAGAAAAUAAUCUGAGUUGAAUUUUUCUAGGGUUUUUUUUAGUAUCCUAUUCAAAGUUGUAAUUAGUAUCAAUCUAAGUAACAAGUAGUGUGGUUUAGGUGCCACGAAAAUCAAUCAAACGGUAAAAAAGAAAUAUGAAAAUUGCUUUAAAGUAAAUGGGUAGCAAGACUGCACGAUAUAAGGUUGACAAUCAAAGAUGAAACUGUUUAGAUGUCGAAUCCCCCUGGCAGCAAGCUAAUUCACAAAUGACAGACAAAUUUCACGAAUUAAACAAACAAGAUAGAUGCAUUACACAUUUGCAACUCUUCUUUAAUCAAAUCACGCCCUUUCGUGUCUGCUAAUUUGCUACCUAUCUAGUAUUCUAGUCCGCUAUUUUGAGAUAAAGAUCUAAAACCCGCUAGGUGAUUUACCGAUUUAAAAUUGCUCACACGACAGACUAAUUCAUUCGCUCCCGGAUGAGGGUUAACGUCUAACCUAGUUAUUUGAUUUUGACGGUCUAGAAAUGCAAGCUCUCACCAGUCUAAGACAAAUCUAACAAAGAUUUAAUUCAAAUUGAUCAAGUAAGAAGAUAUCAAAAACGAAAUUAAAUAUGCAAUGAAAUCCAUCUAAAUCGGAUAAAUCGUCAAACGUAUCAAAUCAUUCGUUCAGAGGAAUUAACCUGUGGUUCAUCUAAUCUAUGUAAGAGAAGUUUAGCCACUCAUAAUCUCGAUAGACAAAUCAAAAUCAGAUUUGGAAUCAGGUUUACACAAAAAAUUAUGAAAAACCUAAUUUCGCCGAUCUUCCCGAAGAACUUGAUUCGCCGUUUUGAUUACUUCGCCGAUUCUGAGCUCCUUGAAGUUGCCUUUAGUUGCUCUUAAAUCCCUGAAUGAAACUCUCAAUUUCGUCCAGGAAGGUCUGUGCCCGAAUGAGGGAGAACCCGGGUAUUUAUAGCGUCUAUUCUCAAUUGGAAAAGAAAAAUUACUGAGAAAACCCGUCUAAAGGAGGAACAUGUCGUGUUCCUUGGACCAUGCUGUGUUCCUAAAGGACACAAGUGUGUUCUCUAAAAAUCGCUCUUGGUCCGAAUGUUACCGAGAAAAGGACACGGGCGUGCCUUUGAGGAAUAUGUCGUGUUCCAAGGACACGUCCUGUGCGCUAAGGACACGGCCGUGUUCCAUGAAGUUAACUUCUCGGCCGUAACAUCCAUUGAAAAUGACACGGGCGUGUUCUUUAGGAACACGUCGUGUUCCUUUGAAUUUCAACAACCAUCCGUUCCGAGCGACUUAAAUCAUCUGUCUUAGUUCUCUCUUGUCCCCAAACAAUGUAUAUCGCAUAAACUUCAUGAUUUAUUCAUCUUUGAUGCAUUUAGCUCCUCUUUGCAUGUCAUACAGUGUCGAUUAGUGCUCCAGCAUCGCUGUGUGCCUGAAAUUGAUCAAAAACACUACGAAACAACAUCAAAUGGACCCCGAACGGGUCCGAGACAUUAAAUCGAGAUAGAAGUUAGAAAUGCACAAAACACCCUAAACUUCUACCCAAAACUAUACGAAUAUGCAUGAAAUGUCUCUUAAACGAGGGCGAUGAACAUGACAAAUUGGAAUCUUCGAUUGCCAGAAAUCUUCAAAGGAGGUUGGGGGUACGCCUCUCAUACGAGAGAAGACAAAAGAUGACAAUAAGAUUCAUAUGGGACUCACUAUGGUGGCUGAUCGAAUUGUAGUAGCGGUGGAAAAAUUAGGAUUACGAACAAAAACGGCGGUGACUAAGGUUUUUUCGAUUCACCCGAUAUUACAGCGACCGAGUUCAAAUCAGUUAUUGUUGAUUCGUAAUUACUAAGGACAUACGAUUCUUACAGACUGCCGAAAUAAAAGAUUUAACAAAAAAAAACACAAAAAACCUAAACUUACCAGCUCAAACAGGACUGAUUGAUUGUAACAGCAAAUUGCGAGGAAUUAACAAGCUAGAUAUUUAUUUAUAGAAAGACAAGACAAGAGGGCUGAAUAAUGGACUUAACUCCGUUGUGGCCUGCGACUCCCGACAGAAGUUGCUGCAACAAAAUCAUUCCUCAAGGAAGCCAUCUUUCUCGCAACAUCAGCCGUCUUCAUACGCUCUCCAGCACUAUCUGUAGAGCAACCCAACCCAGUUUCAAGUACCGAAACCAAACACUCUUUGACUCUUGCAGACAUACCCGUCGAUUCCACAAUUUCAAUGCUCCUCCUCCUGUGAUUAUUAUUGUUAUUAUUAUUUUCAUCAUCAUCUGCUAAUUCCACGUUUCCUACUAUUCUCCUAUGAUGAUCUCCGGUUGUAGUUAAGGAAAUUAGAGACAUUGAUGGGUCUAGUACUGAUGUUAUUCCAUCUGGAAUAGAUGCUUUCACAAAUUCUCGUAGAUUCAUCCCGUCUUUGAACAUCUCAUUGGUGGGUCUUUUUCCGAUGAGAAUCUCUAGUACAAAGAUUCCGUAGCUAUACACAUCCCCUUCAAUCGAUAUUGGCAUUCCCAUUCCGUACUCUGUUUUCCCCCCAAAAUCCAAACAUAUACAUGUCAUCUCAUAAUGCAAUUCAUAAAAUAUAAAACAACAGGUUGGCCAAUUGCUAUAUGCAAUCUGUGUUUUUACGUCGUGCAAUCCAUAUUUUACUAUAUCCUUAAUAAAAAUAAUUAUUAACACCAUCUAUUUGUAUUUCAUGCAAUUCAUUUUUUACCAAUGCAGUCUGUUUUACUAAUGCAAGCCGUUUAUAUUACCAAAUUUUGUCUUACUAAUUCGUUUAAAAAGGUAUAAUGGUUUUUUAACCUAUUGUACGAGAUGAAAAUAGGCUACGUUAGUAAUGUUAUUUUUAUCACGGGUAUAUUAAUUAGUCUACCAACUGUAUAUAGUAACAUCCAAUAAUAUAUAGUUAUAUGAGUUGUUUUGUUACCUGGAGGGGCAUAACCAAUAGUUCCUCUGAUUCCAAUGGUGCUACUUUCAUUUCCUGAUGAACUGUUCGACGACGACGACAUAAUCCUCGCCAGACCAAAGUCUCCGACAUGAGCGACCAUAUCAGCAUCCAAAAGCACAUUGCUCGGCUUCAAGUCACAAUGAACGACCGGAGUAUCACACAGAUCAUGCAGAUAGUGUAGUGCAGACGCAACAUCCACCAAAAUGUUAAGCCUCUGAACGGGGCUCAUCAAGUCGUGACGAUCCGAGUGCAUCCAAUCUUCCACGCUACCAUUGGGCAUGAACUCGAAAACCAAAGCCUUGAAAUCGUUUCCCUUGUGAUCUAAGCUAGAGCAGUAAGUCAGGACUCUAACAAGGUUCCUGUGCCGGACGUUUUUCAACGCAUUGCAUUCAGCUAAUAAGCUCUUACCAGCUUUGUUAUUUCCCUGAAUGUUGAGUACUUUCACAGCUACUACUAAGGCGGCCGGGCCGAUUUGAUUCAGAACUCCUUUGUAGAUGGUGCCGAAACCACCAGAUCCAAUCAAAUUAUCACUAGAGAAUCCAUUAGUUCCUUGAUGGAGGUCUUUGUACGAAACCAUCACAAAGUGGCUCAAGAUAGUAUCUCCAAUAACAGAUUUCUUCCUUGAUCUCCACAACGUCCACUGAUACAGAAUUGCAGACAGCAAGAGGAAAGUCAGCGACGGCAACGCUAUUUCAAGCGUCAGCUUAACCGUUGCAGCUCGCUUCUGCUUAAUUGUUUUUGCGGUUGGGCACUUUUUCAAGUUUAGCUCGAUGGGACCACCACAAAGCAAGGGGUUCCCUGUCACAGACAAUAAAAAGCCAUGACUUGUAUUUGCAAACAUGCCUUUGUCAGGAACCUCGCCUUGCAAAUCGUUGAAGGAAAGAUUCAAAGCUUGCAAAGCUAGAAUGCUCUGUAGCUCCGAUGGGAUCUCACCAGUGAACUUAUUUGUGGAAAGAUCCAAUAUUUCCAUGUCCUUGAUGAAGGAAAGAGCUGAAGGGAUUUCCCCAUCGAAAGAGUUGCUCUGUAGAAACAGAGAUUUCAGGGAUUUGCAGUCUCCAAUAGAUAUUGGAAUGCCACCUGUCAGCUUAUUGUAAGACAGAUCCAGAACUUCCAAAUUGCUUAGAUUCCUGAUUUCAUCUGGAAGUUCUCCGGUGAAGGAGUUUCUGGAUAGAUAGAAUCCAGCUGACAGGGAAGAAAGGCUGAAAAUUUCUCUUGGAAUCGCGCCGGCGAGUUUGUUGUUGGAAAAAUCCAACAGGUUUAGCUGUUGACAGCUUCCCAUACUUAUAGGAACGGAUCCUUGGAGUUGGUUAUCGGAUGCAUCGAGUUUGUUCAAUUGGCUCAGGUUCCCGAACGAGGCCGGAAUGUGACCGGAUAACUGGUUCCCGUUGAACAAUAGUCCUUGUAGAUUUCUGAGCUCACCAAGAUAAGUAGGAAUGCUUCCUGUGAGAAACGAAUUCAUCAGGUCCAGCUUAUUCAAGCUGACCAGAUUCUUCAGCCCUUGAGGAAUUUCCCCACCGAUCGGAUUGACUCCCAGAUACAAUUGAUAGAGUUGAUUCGACAGGUUCCUUAAAGAGUCUGGUAAUGGCCCUCCGAGAUUGUUCUCGCUCACACCUAGUUCCUUGAGUUGGCUGCAAUUACUCAAACCUGUUAUGAAAUCAAAGUCGCCAGCUUUACCAGUUCCGAGAUUAUUAGCACCCACAUUUAGGUACAAAAAACCUGACAGAGUCCCGAAACACGCCGGAAUGGUGCCGGUCAGGCUGUUCUGAUUCAUGUUGAUCUCGUACAAUCGAGAAGCAUUGCAGAACGACUGCGGGAUCGGUCCGGUCAUCCAGUUCCUGGAGAUAUAGUAUCCCAAGAGAUUCGGCAGAGUGAGUCCGAUAUCCUCCGGGAUUCUACCAUGAAAUUGGUUGUAAAUUAGUGUCAACUUUGUCAAGGACGACAAGUUAUAAAGCGACGGAGGGAUGGUACCGUUGAUUUGGUUUACCGCCACCACGAAUAUACUCAUUCUGGAGAGCUGACCGAUCGUCUCAGGAAUUUCCCCGACCAGAUUAUUAUAGGCAACGGCAAACUCCACAAGCUGUGUCAGGUUCCCCAAGGAAGGCGGAAGCUGCCCCGUCAGGAAGUUGAAUCCCAUCCUCAAGCGUGUUAGUUUGGACAGCAUGCCGAUAUCUUGAGGAAUGGUUCCUCCAAUGCUAUUUUUUUCCACCAGGAUUGUCGUGAGGUCCAAGCAACGCGUCAAGUUGGGUGGAAUCUCCCCCGUGAAGAAAUUUGAUGUGAGAUUAAGUGCCUGGAGACGGCGGAGGUUGCCGAUUUGUGGGGGAAUAUGGCCGUGGAAGCUGUUGUUGAGUAGGUUGAUGGUUUGGAGGAAUGUGAGGUUGGCAAUGUGUGGUGAUAGAGUGCCUGCCAGGUAGCGUUUUUUCAAGAACAGAGAAGUGACUCUCUGCUGAGUGUUGCAGGUGAUUCCCGGCCAGUUGCAGAAAUGUAAGGAAUCGUUCCAUGAGGUCAGAAUGGAAUCGGGGUCACUGGUUAUCGCGUUCUUGAAUUCGAGUAGGGCGAGUCGGUCGGUGAGGUUGUUUGCUGAUGCAUUAAGACAACUAUGGAGUGAGAUUAGGAGUAGAAGAAGUAGGAAGGAAAUCAGGAAAUGAGAGUUCUGGUUAUCCUUCAUUAUUAUUAUUUCUAUUAAUUGCUGCUGUGUCUCUGUACAAAAGGGUACUUACUGUAAGCAAGAAAGAAGGUACAAGUUUGGUUGAGUACUAGGCAAGAUUCAUUGAGAAGAUCAUAUAUACGCAGGUUUCAAGGUGAUACAGGGUUCCUCCUCUGGCUAGCUAGAACUUGAAAGUCAAGUGGUUGACUUUGUUCAUUUGAUUCCAUGACGGAUGCUUUUGAAUGAGAUCAGCGACGGAGAAGUUUACCUCAGUGAAGUCAGUAGACCAUCAUUAUUGUGUUUGCAAUAAUUUGCAACUCUAAUGAACUACCUUCAUUAUUGUGUUGUUGUGUAUGCGUUGAAUGAAAACUCUUGACAAACCAAGUUGACUAGGCUUUUCGCUCGUAAAAGCUACCAGUACAGAAUUCAACUCGAUAUUAAACGAGUUCACCUUGAGCCAACCCUGGCUCGGCUUGUGAGUUUAAUGAUUAAAUCAAUCAAGCUCAUAAGCCGACUCAUUUAAGACUCGACUCAAUGUAUGUAUCUCAUAAACCAGCUCGAUAAGGCAUCGAUUAUUGGCUUAUAUAUGAGCUUGUCGUCGUCAUGAUCUUGAUUGUUAGCUCGUGAGCCAGCUAGGAAAUGAGGUUACGAAUUGAUAUAUUCCUUGUACUGUAUGUGGUAUGCUAGUAGUAUGUAUUAGAACAGGUGAUACUUAGCUAAGAACAAUUUUCUUAAAAAUUGGGUUUUCUUUGGAACUCGAGCUCGGUAACAUGUCAGGAGCUCGUUUAGUGGAUUUUGAGCCGAACCGAGCCGGGCCGGAAUUGAAGUUUUCUAAUCAAACCAAACUCGAGCUUGUUUCUUAUCGCCAUUCGUCACGGUAAACGGGUGAACACUUGAUUUUUUAACAAAUAAGCGUGUGUUACUUGUUGUCAUUCGUCACGAGGUGUAAGCAUUGAUCUUUUGCAAUUGAGACGGCAGCAGACAAAUGAUACAUUAAACUAAAAUAUAACACAAUUCAGAGACUUUUUUUUAUCGAAAAGAUGAUGUUCAUUCCAAGAUGGCCGAAAAAACGAGCAUACAAACGUGUCUAUCGGAGAUAUAGACUCCACAUGGAGCUGUAUGGAUUGUGGGUCCCCGUAAAUAUGGUAACUUCAAUCCUUUCUCAUCGACUAUGACAACAGGAAUAGAAAAAGUUCCAAAUAGCUAACUACCAUAAAAGGUGACACUACAUAGUUCUAACUAAUGGACGAAACAAACCGUCAUUAUUCUAGCCGCUACAGUGCUAGUUCGGCAAAGGGCUUUAAAAACUUUGUUGCUAAGGUGAAAUGGGCCCAUUAGUUGCCCCAGGUUUUGCUUCUGUGGUGAUUUAUGGGCUUUAUUCUCGGAUGUGUCUUCUACCUUCAUUGGGUCUGAGAUUGCCACCUCACAUCUACGGCGCUUACGGUCAUCAGCUUCCUGAAUUCGCAACAUUGUUUGUUCCAAACUUUGUAAUCCCUGACACUUCCAAGAUUGAGUACCCGAAAUUUUGCUCGAUCGUUCGUAGGUUGGGGUGUUUGGGUCCCUUGCCAUGGCACCGACAUCUUGGGGGUUGUGGCCCCCUUUCGAUAGCUAGCAAUACUCCAUUGUGUUGUUUUGGCUGUCUGUAUUUCCCUCCAUGAUGAUACUUUGAUUGAAUCAUCCCACGGGAAAGGGAAUUGCAUAUCCGGGAACUGAAACCGGAGAGGAAAUUUCUUUUCCACAUGACCCAAAAUACCUCAUAUAUAAUAGAAAUAAGGGAGUCACUGGUACUUAUACUUACAAAUGAUCUCAGUUUCAUUAUGUUUUAUUACGGGUCUCUCCUUUAACAACGGUUUUCCGAUAUCCAGUGCAACGCGGAGGCACAUGAAUGUAUUGGUGAAGAAUUGGUUGUUCUUCUCAUCAUAGUCCAGGUAACGUCUUGCUGAAUGAGUCAGUGCUUUGCCCACCGGGACUGAAAAUACCCAUUCAGCAGAUUGUGGAUUUGAAUCCAGAGAUCCACUUCCUGCAACAGGACGGGUUGUGGGUUCUCCCCUCGAUACAGCUCGUGCAUCAACAAAAUAAUGAUUAUCGAAAAACCAUGGUCCGAAAUCGAUGACUCUUCGUCCAUCUAGCUAGUGAUCGAAACGGAAGAGGAAACGCCAGUUUUCCAAUUUCAUGAUCUUGACUCCAUGCUCUGGUUGCCAUGUAUUGGAUAGGCUCUGCUCAUCUGGACUAUGUUAUUGUCCUUCUUGGUGAGGAACAUCCCGACAAGACAUAGUUCAAACCCCAUGCCAAUGGUUGCUCCACCAAUUCAGCCAAAGAUAAAGCAGUCACCGAGGGAAUCAAAAUCUCCGAGACAGCUUGCGCGGGGCCAAAAUUACCCCCAUGGGGCUCUCCGGCCUCUGGCCAUCGGCGGCCAGCAACAGACUCGCCGGUCGAGGGGUGAAACCCGACGGCGUCGGUGUGGAUGUUGUGGGGCGGUUGUUGAGAGGACUUGGUGGGCGGUGGAUGUUGGAGGCAGCGGUGGAGGUGAAGGGGUGUCGAUUGGUGAGGCCAGUUCCAACAGUAGAGAGGGAAUAGGGUGACAAGGAGGUGAGGGCGGGUGUGGGAGUGGAGGUGUGGCGAGCAGAGGGGGUGCUUGCAGCGGUGGAUGGGGAGAGCGGGGUGGAUGUUUUAGGUGGCAUAUUUUGGAGGCUAAGGUUUCAACAACUCUCCGAGAGAGAACAACAAUUAAUUUAAGAUAAAAUAAGUAUACAAAUUGCAAUAAGCCAUAAUAGCAUCUAAUCGAGUACGCAGAGACGUACCCGGCAGUUGGCAUUCACCAGCUCCAACAAGAAGGCGUCAUAUUUACAGAAAACCCCAACCUUUUUAGCUUUAUGCAAUGGGCAAGUACUAGAGGGCAAACUCUCUUGAACCCCAUCGGUCUUCGUAUCUUCCCAACGAGUAGGGAUUUGCAGAGACUCCACUGAGAUGAAAAGGGUCUGGUUCAAUUCCAUAAUCAGUUAGUGGCCGAUCCUCAAGCACAUCAUCGUGGUUUUGAACAAAUUCAGGGAUCUCCACUUCCCCUUUCUUAAUGUCCGCCCAGAGAUACUGAAGCCGACUCACGUACUUGAUCUUCCAGUACAACCUACAAAAAGGAUAUUCAAUCGAGCAAAUUAAACACUACUUUAUGAUGAUGUACAAGUUCCAAUGAUGCAACUAGCCAUUGCAACUAAAUUAGCUCAUUUCAGUACAAUGAUCAUUUUCAUAGCAAGAACACAAAGAUAAUGUGCUUACCCUCCAGUUAAGAACAAUCGGCCGAGGGUAGCAAUUGCAAGCCUUGAGCGGAGACCGGGGUGAAUGAAGUACACAGUCUGAAGCCUGUCCUUGUAGUUUCCUGGAAGUUCUUCAUAUAUCCACCUCAAGACGGUUAUACCUGGAGAAUUAUCCUCUUUUUGCACCGUACUAUGCAUGUAGACGAUAGAGAAUGGUCCUUCAGGCAACUCGCUGCAUAUUUUGUGAAAAAUGUACUUCUUCAGCCGCUCUGCACUAAUAACUGGAGCUGCAUGCCAAUUGCCACACAAUGACCACAUCAGGCAGAGAAAUCAAAGCAGCAGACAGGUACAUAAAUGAUCUUAUUCAACAUUACAUCCCAUGUUACAUUGUGUUAAGUUGCCGCAUUAACAUAUAGUGGUGAGAAGCAUGUGAAUGACUACAUGACUAUGCAAUCCAAAAUCCCAAUCUUCACUUUGGUAAGGAUCAUUUGCGUAUUACUACUUGCAAAACCUAGCCACAACUAAUUUUUUAUAUAUACAAAAGGUAAGCGAACUUUAUAGCCACAAAAAUGUUAAACAAGUACAGGAAUGUUACAGAACUUCUACGAAGCAAACGACUCCAAGCAAGUCGCAACUUCAUUGUCUAGAAACUACCCUGACACAAAGGGUUGGUAGUUGCAGUUGAAAUUCUCAACCUAGAUCAAGCAAACAUACUGAAUCCCACACUAUUGAACAGCUAGACACUCAUGAAAAUUGUCCACGCAAGCCCUUCCCUACAUUAUCAAUGCUUUCAAUGCAAUUAGCCACAUGUGUUACUAAAUAUGGACUUUGGCUAAUUAAGACGCCAGUAACCAACACAAUAUCUGUUUAGGAAGCACAUACAUCCAACCUCCAAGGAAUGACUUCUAUGAACAAUCAAAGUGGCCGAUUCAAGGAAUAGAUUAGUAUGAAUAUUAUGGUUAAGGCAAAGUAGAUUCAAAGACAAGAAACCAUUAAUCAAUUAGGUAAAGCAAACAACAUGACAGGGCAAGUUAGGUUCAUAUAUCUCCAGGUGAUGUUCUGCCACAGCAGAGAAAAGCACCUCUAUCUCCAGGUGUUUUUCACUGUUAAGGCCAAGGAUGAUCAAACCCUCCGAAUCAAAUAGAACUCACACACUUACCAUGAGACCCACACUAAGCAUACUAAGACAACAAAGGAGGAGCAACUAACACAAUCUUCAAUCAACCAAGACACAAGCCACAGGGGAUCAGAUUCACAAGCAUAGACCAGACAAUUAUAAGGCAAUAAAUGAUAAAGAGUUCAUUGCAAAUAAAACUGUACAGACUAAAGAUAAGUGCGAAAGCUGUAGUUGAUUACCGGGGAAGUGUUUGCCAACGAUACGGAAGAUGCGAUUCCCGGAUCGAUCGGAGCCCUGGAUGCAGAAGAACUGGAGCAGAUCGAGGUCGGAGAAGUCUUCGUCGGAAACAAGGUACUGCGAGCAAUCUUGCCAGUUCUCACUGUCGUCUUCUCCGUCGGCAUCACCAUCUCCUCUAGGCCGAUUCGUCAAGAAGGGAGUAGCGUCUAUUCCCAAAUCCGACGCCAGCACGAACACCGAGAAAUCCUCCGUCGAAGAGCUUCCCAUGUUUUACCCUUUAAUUCCCCGGCGACAGUGUCGAAGUCCCGUUUGUUUGGUACUGUGAAGUGAAGUUAGGUCGCCUGUGGUGGUUGUUUCAGGUUCAGCCGUAAAUAAUAUUUGAUUAUUUUAAAAAAUUCUUUAAUAAUAGUUAUGACAUCAGCGACGGGUCAAGUACCCGACUUACGCGUUUGGUACUAGUUUGGGUACGAAGAUAAAGUACAAGUCAAAGUACCUGUUUGGUACCAAAACUUUGAUAUAUGGCUUAUAUGAGUCCAUUUUCCGAUUGAUUACCACUCUUGUCAUGGAUCAUAUACCAUUUGAAGGCUGCGAACACCAGUUUUUUUAGAAUGGCUUGAUGGUACCUGUGGAGGACCAGGAACGAAGCUUUCUUUCAACCGUUUAGCACCACUUUCAAGCUAAUAACACAACAGAUAUGUGGAUGGACGUCUACUAUUAAGGACGCAUAUAUCUGAGAGCAGGACGCUAAGCUUGGUCGCCCCAUCGGGACGAAGGUGCAUACCUCCUGAAAACCGGCACCCCCAUAAUGGGUUGCCCUUAAUUCGGAUGGUUCAGUUACCUGGAGACGGGUCAAGGAGUUGCUGGAGGUUUGAUUCGAGACUCAGCUGGUCGCAUUAUGUUGGCUUUCAGCUUGAGAUUGGGUGUGUGUUCGAUCACCCGGGCGGGGUUAAGGGAUGUUGUGACUGGCCUUAAUAUAGCUUGUGAGCAAAGAUACUGACGUGUAUAGGUGCAGUUCCACUCUCGUUGCGCAUUGUAGCUGAUACGUCAGGAGACAGGGACAUUACAUCAGCACUCUGCUGUUGUGAGCCAUAUUCAGGAGUUAACGAGGAGGGCGUGGGAGAUCGAAUUCGUUCAUAUAGACCGAGAGGGCAAUCAUGAUGCAAACUACCUUAUUAGCAUUGGACACGAAAUGCCUUUUGAUGUUUAUUUAUUUCCUAUUUUUUAUCCUAUUUUCACCAAUUGAUUCCGUCAUAUACUUGGUGAACAAAUUAAUAAUGAAUGAAAAUUAGGAAUGUUACAUUUAAGAUUUUCCAAAAAAAAAGAUAAAAAAUCCAGAAAAACUAGAGUAAUGUGGUCAAAUAAAAAAAGUGAUUUUACUUCAAUUAGAAGUACUGUCUCGUCAUGUAAAAAUGUACUUUGAUUUGCUACAUUUGGCUUUUACAAGUUACACGUUUAUAUAGUCAAAUUAUAAAAGUGGCACCCAAUGUUUAUAUUAAUUAUGAUGUGGAAACUCAUUGGAGGACUAAUACACAAAUUUAAUCAAACUUAUUANNNNNNNNNNNNNNNNNNNNNNNNNNNNNNNNNNNNNNNNNNNNNNNNNNNNNNNNNNNNNNNNNNNNNNNNNNNNNNNNNNNNNNNNNNNNNNNNNNNNNNNNNNNNNNNNNNNNNNNNNNNNNNNNNNNNNNNNNNNNNNNNNNNNNNNNNNNAUCAAUAGUUUCGAAUGAAAAAAUAUAAAUCAAAUUCAUAAUGAAAAAAACUCAAAAUCACUAUUCUGUAAUUAUCCUUUCAUUGUAUUUGUUAUUAAAAAUUUAGAAUGGAAAAUUAUAAAUCAAAGUUCAUAAUGAGAAAAUUCUAAAUAAGUCAUCUAUUUUGAAAUUUUCAUUUUUCUAUAUCAAUAAUUGUUAUUAUUUUCACAAAAUAAAUGUUAAUAACAAAACAUAACGUGUCAUUAUAAUUUUGUUUAAAAUUUAUUUUUGGGCCACAAAAUAUGAUAUCAUCAUUUUUAGUUUUCUUUCGGUUAGUUUUGACAAAAAAAUUAACGGAGUUAACAAUUUUGGCUAAUCUCGGUUUAUCAAUAUGUUUGGCUAGAUUAGUCAACAAUUUAAUAGAUUUGGCUAGACUUGUAUAUUAGUCCUAUAAUGCAUGCCAUUUUUUACACCCGGUUAUUCUCAAUACACCCCAUCAUUGUCAUGUUUCAGCUGCGCCUUCUCACAUAUUUCAAUCGUCUCUAUUGCUGCCUCUACCAUGUGUUUAGAGGUUUGUUUUCCAUUCCGCUCUCCAUAAUGCCCAUAAAAUAGUUAUCGUCUUCUUGUAUUGCAGCAUGUCUAUCUCCUUUAAUAUCCGCAUAACCCACUCUGAGAACGCUUCAUUACGGUCUCAUAAUUGCUCCACCAUCAUCCUUAACCCAACCUCCUCCCAACAUUCCCACGCGAAGGUACACUUUAGAAAUAAGUGUCACGUUGUCUUCAUCUUCGUUAAGCAAAAACCGCACUCCCAUGAUACCAAAGCAUGUCACUCCUACAAGCUAUAUCUUGUUGGAGAACUCCUCUACACGCUCUUCAAGAAAAAUACUUCAAUUUAGGUGACAAUUUCAAUGCUCUUAACUUCUUCCAGUCUCCUUCCACCUUCAGCUCAUCCGUCUCCACUCAUCUCUCUAUCAACAGCCUAUAUGGUGACCUAACUAUAUAUACCCCAUAUUUAAUAUAUGGCCACACAACUUCAUCCACCACACCCCUUACUAUUGACAUGGCAAGAAUUUUCUCUGCCUCCUUUAGAUGAAACAGACUAUUCACUGAAUCUUCAUCCCACAUAUCAUCAUUCGACAAAAUAAGAGCCGAAAUUCGCAAAUCCCAAUCCGGGAUUGCUUAUCGAUUCAUCAUAAAAGCUACAUUCCCACCGUACCCAUGGGUCCUCCCAAACUGGAAUUUGCGACCCAUCCCCAAUCUUUCCAACGAUAUCCUUUCGUCAUAGUCAGCUUCGCCUCCAUUAUAAUACGUCAAGUGAAACUUGGAUUUGAGCCUAAAUUAACAAACAAAAAAUCUUCAUUUGGAAAAUAUUUAGUUUUGAAUAUUCUGCUCACCAACGACGUCUUAUUAGUAAAAAACUGCUAAUCCUGUUUUCUUAAUAUCGCAAGAUUAAAACCAUACAAAUCCCUAAAACUCAUAUCUUUGAAUUCCUUCCUUACACACAAUUUCUUCCAUCUCAUCUAAAGUAUCUCUCCACCUUCUGUCCCGUUCGUGCCCCACAAGAAGCUGUUAAUUAUUUUUUUCUAUUUCAUCUAGUCAUAUCAGUGACAUUAAAAACAUUCAUAUUUACCGGUAACACUUGUACCACUGUUUUGAUAAGAAUCUUUUUACCUUCUUUCGAUGGAGAUUUACCUCUUUAGCUCUGGAUCCGUUUUCAUACUAUUUCCUCCAAAUAUCAGAAGGUGAGCUUUUGAUUCCUUUCCAUCAACGAAGUAUACCCAAAUAACGGUCUUUUAUAAAUGUUUUUGAAUUGUAUUGAUGAGAAGGCUUUGAAAAUGAAAUAUGUAAAAUUGUAAAACAAAAUGAUGUGGAAGUAAAACUCACUUUUACAAAUGAAAAUGAAUUCCAUUGAUGUGAAUGGUCUUAAAUCGGAUCGCAUAAAGGAAGAAAAAAAAUCACCACAGCAACAUCCAAACAGAAGAAUCCGAAACCGAGCCUUAGCUUGCUGCAUACUAAAAAAAAAACAAAUGGCGUAGGGUGAAACCCACAAGAAACGAAACAAAUGUGAAGUAGUAAUGAACAAUCGGCAACAAAUGGCAACAAUGGCGGGUGGAGAGGUAAAGAUAGAGAUGGAAAGAGACCAGGGGUGAUGAACCUUGGAAGACACGCACGUACAUACAUAACCAAAAACAAAAGAGAUUUCAUUUCCAAAACCAGCAAAUGUUUCAAACCCAUCCUUCUUACCCUCUUUUAUGAAACAACAAAAUCAAAAUCUGAAUGAAUGAAUGUCAGCCCAACCAUCCAUCCUCUGUUAUAUUACAGUCCACAACUUGCCUCUUCCACCCCCCCAAAUUCACUGAAUCAAGCCAAGCUUUCCCUCUUAUUAUUACUAUAGUAGCCCAACACCAGCCUUGCAUAAAGAAACUUCCUUUCCUUUCCUUUUUCCUCAGCCAUUGCUUUAUCCCUCUUCUUCCAAAAUCUACUGCCCUCCCCAACUCGGUGAAAAAUUAAACCUUUAUAUAACAACCGCAACCACCCAUCUUCUUUCUCUCUAUUGCCCUUUUGUUCUCUAUAUACUACCGAGGACAAUUUCGAUUAUGGGAUCUGGGUGAGAACAAUUUGGAUGAUGCUACGACAAGUCUCCUUCUCCACAAUUCAGAUUUAGUUAAAAAGGUUGAUUAAUUUAUACCCUUUUUCGGCAUUAUGGAGACGGCGAUGGGAUCGAGAAACAGAGCUCCUCCGUCUCCUAGUUAUUCUUCAUCAUCGAUUCCACCUCCUCCUCCUCAUCAUCUUAGGUCGGAAAUGGACGACAGUGAGAGCAAAAUGUUUGGGUAUCAGAAAUCGAAGAUCCUGAGCAGCGGUAAUGCGAGGGCUAGGAUUCUGACGAGUGGCUAUUUCAGCGCGGAAUCGUUGUUCCUGUUGAUAGGCUUGACGGCUUCACUGCUGAUACUUCCGUUGGUUCUUCCGCCAUUGCCGCCUCCGCCGUUUCUGCUGCUUCUCAUCCCCAUCGGGAUUCUCUUCUUCCUCGUGGUCCUCGCCUUUUCUCCUUCUUAUGUGACGGAUUUUGCUUACACAACUCUGUAAUUUGUGGUAAGUACCAGACAAAGGAGGGACUGGAAUUGGUGAUAUUUGUAGAACCGUUCGUUGAUGUUAGGUUGUUGAUGAUAGGUGAAAUUCUUGGGGAAAUAUUAUGAACGAUGAUUUGGAUCUUCCUUCUUUCACUUUUGAUUAGUGGUUAAUCAGUCAAUUGUAAUUACUGCAAUCUCUGUUCUAUCGUGAGAACUAAAUUCGAAUCAAUUUUACUUUUUUUUACACUAAUUUUUUCCAUUCAUAAGAACAAAAGGGGUAAAACAAAAUGGGUUUUACUUUGCAAGGUGUUGCGGGAUAGAAUUUUGAGGAGUGGGAUGCCGGAUUGGAAUUAUAAGAAUUUUUUCAUUUGAAUUGAAAACUUAAAUUUUAAUAUAGUUUAUUUUGAAAAUUGAUUUUUUUAUUUCCAUCCAAAUUUUAUUAAAUUCAUUAUUCCUAACUUAUUGCGAAUUGGGUUUGAUUUGUAAUCGAGUUCGAGCUGGGCUUGUUUGGAAAAUUGAGGGCUCAAACUUGACUCACUUGGCUCGUUCACAACUGUACCUGAGUUUUGAGUUCAGAUUGCAACGAAAAAAGUGCACCUGAAGUAGCGUAUUGUACUUAUUGUUGAAUCUCAACUAAAAAUUAUAAUAAAAAAAGAGAUGGAAUUGGAGUUGGUUUAAUUAACACAAUAAAGUUUAUAAACGAGCCACUGGUUGAACCGGGCCAUAAGCUUCUUAAUGUGAGUUCGGUUCGACAAGCUGCUGGCUCGCAAAUUAGAGUAACUGAGUUACUCUUGGCUUGGACUCUGAAGAUUUCGUACCAGCUUUCAAAUAGGUUCAUUUUGUGCCAAAUUAAACGUAAAUAAAUUUGUCAAACCGAACGUUGGAGGGAAUGAGGUGGAGUUUCAGUGGCUUGUGGUUGCGGACCUAGGCAUGGACGGGAGUACAUAGAGUGAGAUGAUAAAACCAUCUAUAAUUUAGAUGAUCGAUUAUAAUUGUUGAUUUUCUAUUAUAUAUAAGUGGAUAGAGAAUUAAUUAGUACGUAAUAUUCUCUUUUCUUUUAAUUGAUGUUUAUCUUAUUAAUUUCCAUAUUUUCCGUUUUUAAUUAAAAAUAAUUUUUAUUAGUUUCUUCUCUUUCCUCCCAAAUUAUGAACGACGGUAAUGGUUAUUUUUUUGAGGUCACUUCAUCUUUUUUUACAGUAGCUUGAACUAUUUCACUAUAUUCCACAAUAGGUUGAACUAGUUCGCUAUUUUUUUAGGUCAUAACCUCAUCAGUAGCCUGAAUUAAUUCAUUAUAUUUUACAGUAGCCUAAACUAGUUUACUAUUUUCUAUAGUAGCCUGAACUAGCAUCAUCAAAUAUAGUGAACCAGAUUAAGAUUACGUUCAUAUGAAAGUGAACUAGUUCAGAAUACGUUAACAUAAACAGNNNNNNNNNNNNNNNNNNNNNNNNNNNNNNNNNNNNNNNNNNNNNNNNNNNNNNNNNNNNNNNNNNNNNNNNNNNNNNNNNNNNNNNNNNNNNNNNNNNNNNNNNNNNNNNNNNNNNNNNNNNNNNNNNNNNNNNNNNNNNNNNNNNNNNNNNNNNNNNNNNNNNNNNNNNNNNNNNNNNNNNNNNNNNNNNCGAUACCCUGGGGGUACCAGUACUCUGUAUGCCAAAUUUUGAUAUAUUUUGUGUUUAAAAUUAUGAUUUUAAAGGUUGAAGGUUGAAGGUUUCUGCUUAGGAUUAGGGCAUAGUGAUAGGGGUUAGAGUUUGAUAUAUAGGGUUUAUGAUCUAUUAAUUUUGAUUUAUGGCCAAAAGUUAGAGUUUGUGAUACGAUUUUGAGUUUGACUUUAUGAUGUAGUGUUUGAGGGUUAGGAUUUAGUGUUUAGGGUGUUAGCAUCAUUCUUUAGUGUUUAGGAUUUACUAUAAGAACUUUAGAAUUAAUUUUUGAAUUUUAAAUCUUCAAAAUAUAAGAUUUUUAGUAUAGAGAGUACUGAUAUCUCGAGGAUACCGAAGCGCUUCCAUAUAUAUUUAUAGCUUUCUUUUUGGACGAUAGUAAAAUCUUAAUUAAAUUCAUUUUUGUUUUCUGCCUGAUUAAAAUUUCAUUGAUGAGGACUAUUUCUCUGUUGUCUUCUCUUUCAUCUUCCAUAUUUCAGCUUCCGUCACCAGUAUCGCCUGAGGUACGGCCGUCAGAUCUUUUGGCUCCUCUGCCUCGAGCGGACGUUAGUGUGAUGGAUAAGAUUACCCGCCGGUUACACUCUCUAUGAUUGAUGGCCAACCGAGUAUUCAAAAGAGGGUUUCCUAUGUUGCGCUGGUGUCUAGGGAUCUCAGAUCUUUAGCUCAAGCUCCAGCCUCGACAAUUGAUGUGGACACGAAUGAUAUUGCGUUGAGCCGUAAGAAUGGAUUCAAACAUCUUAAUAUCUCGAGAGAGUUACGCACUAGAAUCUGUGCAUCUUUGCGGAAAACCCUUGUGGUUUGCCUUUUGCGUAAGAGUGUGGAUAUCCAAUAUAUGUAUGAUAAAUUGAAAGCAAUGUCACGUCCGAAGAGUGGAAUGACAAUCGUCGAUUUGGAUAAUAAAGUGUUCUUGGUCUUCUUUGAGAAUCCUCAAGAUUAAGAUUUCGCUUCAACCGGAGGUCCUUGGAUGAUUAUUGAGCAUUAUCUGGUUUGUCACAGUUGGGAUCCGUUGUUUAGGGUGGUUGCUAAUUUUCCAGCAAAAAUGUUGGAUUGGGUGAGAUUCCCUAAGCUACCGAUUCAGUAUUAUCACAGAGAGAUCUUAACAGGGUUGGGAGACCUCGUCGGGAAAACAGUUCGGAUUGAUCGUAGAACUCUCUUUGCUGCUAGGGGGAAAUUUACCCGGUUAGUUGUGGAAGUUGAUCUCAGACAAUCAGUUGAAACAUGAGUUUUUUUCGACAAUCUUUGGCAGGAGGUGUUAUAUGAAAACCUACAUUCGCUAUGUUUUUAUUGUGGAUGGAUCGGCCAAAAGUAGAAGAUUUUCCCUCCAAUCCCCAGUUUGUGGCUCAUGUUGAUCAAACCUCUCCCUCGAUCUAAUCGGUAGAAACUUCUGAUCGGUCGGAGACGGUUGUUGCUACGGAGAAACGCCCAAAGUUUGGACCAUGGCUCAAUUACCACAAGAUAUCUUGGUGACCAAAAAACCAGCAGCCUACACCUGUCAUCACGCCUUCAACGAUCGAUAAUCUAAUUAAAAAAGGUAAGGAAAAUCAGGUAAUGGGAAGAGGAAGGAAACAAUUUUAGAGGAGAAAUUUGUGGAAAGAGUAUAAAAGAAUUCUAAUGAGGGAACAAAACAUAAAUCUUUGGGGUUUACUCAAUCUGCGCAAGAGAAAAAGCAACCAAUUACUUCUCCUUAAAAUAAGAUCUUGUCUCUUUUGGUUGUUGUUAAACCCGUGGUUAAGGCUGGUGGUGGGGAAGCUUCUCUAUGCCUAGUUGUGUUGGGUGGUAUUGGGCAUUCUCACCCCAAAAGUUAGCUCACAGGGUGAGACUUUCUCUCAUACUUAUAAACAGCACCCAACCUCUUCCACUCUUCGAUGUGGGAUAACCCAACAACCUCCCCCUCACACAUUGGUCUCUCGGUAGGCAUUACCCAUGUACCGGCUCUGACCGGAUCCUGGGAGGUGUUAUCAACCUGAGCUCUGAUACCACUGAAAGAGAAACGAGGCUCAAGUUGAAGUGUGUAAGAGCUAGCUUUUGGGGUGAGAAGUCCCAAUAACACCCAUAUGUGGUAUCAGAGCUCGAGGUUGUUUUGGGGUUGUUUUGGGUGGAUGGCAACAAUGGACUAUUCAAGCGGAACAAUGAUCAAGUUAGCGUUAUCGAAUUACUCAAUUUGGAAGCCACGAAUGGAGGAUAUAUAAUUUUGCAAGGAUCUCUAUGAACCCAUCAAAAGUGGAAGCGAGAAGCCGGAAGACAAGACGGAGAAGUAAGGGGAGGUUUUGCAUAGAAAGGCGGUGGCAAUCAUCCGACAAUGGAUUGACCAAAGCAUCUUUCACCAUGUUGCAAAAGAUACUAGAGACGAUGAAUUGUGGCAGAAAUUGGAGUUAAUGUAUGAGCGGUAAUUGGCUCAAAACAAGGCCUCACUCAUUUGAAGAAUUGUGAACUUGAAGUACAAGGAUGGGCAUAAUGUCACGGAGCAUUUGGGUGACUUUCAAGGGCUUGUGAACCAACUAACUACUAUGAAGUUAGCAUUUGAUGAUAUUUUUUGUACAAAUUUCUCUGUUUAUGUCACCCCGACAGUGCAGGAGAAGCAGUCCACACCGAAUUUGACCAUCCUGUUUGUCCAGAGUAUGGGAUGCAAAACUGGGGAGUGUGUCUGAAGAAAGCAUAAAUUCGCUUCCAAUGUGGGCGGCCAGGGCACCUUGCUCGGGAGUGCAUCGAGUUGUGUAAGCCUACAUCAUCAGAGGCGGUAGUACUGUAGAGGAGAGCUUUGUCUAGGAGCACGAUUAGAGGUGGAGGCUCUAACGCUCUAUUGACAGGAGCCAAUGCAGUACCUUUGGAGCAAGGCACGUUGCAGGGGAAGAUCACAGAGGCUUAGAGCAGGAUGUACGCCACCAGAAUUGAGACAGAGGCCGCCCGAAUACCGUCACAGGUACGGUUGUCCUUUUUGGCUGAUCUUUUCAUGCCUUGUUUGAUACGGGUGCUUCACACUCUUUCAUUUCAGCUGCUGUCAUACGACUUUACCAGUAUUGCCUACUAUGAUGAGUAGACCUUUUAGAGUGAGUAUCCCAGUGGGAUGACUCUACCGGUAGAGUUUUGGGUAGAAGGAGCAGUUCUGCUCCUUGAGGAUAGAGAGUUCACGGCGAACCUCAUUGUUCUUUCCUUUGAUGAGUCCGAUGUAAUUUUGGGGAUGGAUUGGUUAGAGCAUCAUGGAGCCUUAGUAUAUUGUAAGAAUAAUACGACCAGAUUCUCGAUACUUGAGUAGGAAGUUGCAGUCAUCACAAGGAUUCAGCAGUAGCAGCAUCACGGGCGAUUUUUCAUUUCUGCCAUGAAGUCAGAGAAAUAGAUCAUAAGUGGAUGUGAGACUUUUCUGGUUUAGUCAUCCUUGAUGUAAAGGGACAGAUUGGGGAUGUGCUAUUAGUUCGAGAAUUUUCAGAUAUUUUUUCAAAUGACUUAUCAAAGAUACCAUUUGAGAGGAAGAGGUUUCUAUUCCCUAUUUUAUUUUGAUUCGUGAUUAAAACUUAAUAUUUACUUUUUUAAAAAAUAUUCGAUUGACGAGGGUCUCGGCACCUGCAGUGCAAAAUCAGCAUUAUUCAGCGGCAAAACAUAGGCCAAAGGAGAUGAAUAAUAAUAAUAAUAAUAAUAAUAAUUGGUUGAUAUUUUGUGUAGGUCAUAAAUGGGCUUGACCAACAUGGUACGUACGGUUCUUCUUCUUCUUUUAACUUUAGCUUAGCUUAGCUUCGUNUAGCUUCUUUAAUGAAAUAAAAAUAAAAAAAUGUCUCAGAGAGAGAGAGAGAGAGACGUAACUCUCAGUGUUGAUGAGUACUCUUCAUUCAUCUGAUGCAUGCAUUCCAAUUUAUGGUUUUCUCAUUUAAUUUCUAACCUUUUAAUUAUAUUAUUAUUGACGUCUUCUACUACAUCAAGUUUCUAAUUAAUUAAUUAAUGCUUGAUGGUGUUUAGUUUUCUGAACGUAGAUGUUAUAGCCAUAAUUUUUUGAACGGGUAUAGCCAUACAGUGUUUAAUUNNNNNNNNNNNNNNNNNNNNNNNNNNNNNNNNNNNNNNNNNNNNNNNNNNNNNNNNNNNNNNNNNNNNNNNNNNNNNNNNNNNNNNNNNNNNNNNNNNNNNNNNNNNNNNAUUCCUUAUUUGGUAUCUAUGUUAAAAUGAAAUUUAAAAAGUUAAAAUGAAAUUUAAAAAUUUAUUUAUAUUGGUAAGAUUUGACAAUCCUCUAAGUAUAUAUUUGAAAGUUUAAAUUAUAUGUAUUUAAACUUUUAUUUUUACAUACCAAACAAAUGAUUCAAACAAAUACAUAAAUUUUGAAAUACAUCAUUUAAAAUCGCCCCAUAUCAGUUAAACCUAUUUCACCAUAUACAUCCAGUUAAUUGGUUCAAUGUAACAAGUCUUUUUGUCAAUGUUUCAAUUAGUAAUGAGACUUAUACACAACUCAGCAACACACCAGAAAACUGAGUGGUGCUAUACUGCUAUCCACACUUCACAACGAACUAACAACUAUAGUCCAAAUCCUUGGUUAUACACCUCACUUAACUAAUUUUCACAUCACAUCAAAUCAACCGCAAAAAUAUGGAGACACAACAAUCUCAAAAGUCAAGUAAAAUUGUAAAAAAACGAAGAGACGGAUUUCUUUAGGGGCAAUUGCGGCAAUAUAGAUCCAUUGUCUAUGAAAAUUUGGUGUUUUAAAAAAAACAUUCUCACCGUCAUGUAUUUGAAAAAAUCAUAUUGUAGAGGAAAUGUGGGCCCAAAAGAAAAUUGUUUUUAUAAAACACUAACCAAUUAAAACUAAACAAAGAAAUUGCAUCAGUUGUAACUUCGGAUAAAGUGCUUAGUCUGCCUCUUUGAUUCAUAGCGGGGACACCUGAGAUUCUAGCCUCUUUCAGAGUACCAAUAAGGUCGUGUGUGACAUGCUUGCUAGGUCCUUUUAGUAGUCUUUACUUAUUUUGUUAGUUUUUAGACUUUCUCGUUAUUUUCUUUGGUUAUUUUUUUCUCGUUGGUUGAUCUCAAUGUUGGAGAGAAAGGAGUGAGCUCUUUUAUUUGCAAGGACCUGGAAUUCAUAUAGCCCUAUUAAUAGGGUCUGCACUUUCGAUAGGACAACUUAAUCGCAAUGUAUAUAUGUAUUUCCAGUAUAUAUAUAUAUAUANNNNNNNNNNNNNNNNNNNNNNNNNNNNNNNNNNNNNNNNNNNNNNNNNNNNNNNNNNNNNNNNNNNNNNNNNNNNNNNNNNNUAUAUAUAUUAUUUGACCAGAAUCACACCAUCUCUUUUCCCCACUUCUUCCACGUGAAUCUAGUAACAAAAAAAACUCUCUUUCCGCGACGAGAUCUCACCUCUCAUAUUAUGAUAUUCAUAUUUUGAAACACAAAAAUAUUUUAAAUACCACGAUAUUAGAUAAAUGAUGAAUUUCAUAAAUCAUUCAGGAAUUCAUUACCAAUUGGGCCAUUGGGGGCGUUAGUCUCGAAUAAAAAUGUAAAGCCACAAGGUAACUAACUUUGGACUCCAAUCGUGGUCAACAAAUUUCCUUCAUUGAGCCCAAGACCAAAACAAAUUGAUCCAUUAAUUCUGAGCUACGGCACGAGUCCAAAUUACUAACCUAAAACCCUUCCCGCCGCUGUCUAUCACUUCCAUCCAAUCUCCGUCACUUUCCUCACUCGCUCUCCUCCGAUCCAAACCCGAACAAAUGGCGUCGGUGAAGGAAAUCCUAACCCGGAGGCCACUCGCCGCGACGAUCCGCCUUACAGUCCCUGCGGGAGGAGCUCGUCCGGCACCUCCCGUUGGUCCGGCGCUUGGUCAGUAUCGUCUGAACCUGAUGGCGUUCUGCAAGGACUUCAACGCGCGAACUCAGAAGUACAAGCCGGAGACUCCGAUGUCGGUGACCAUUACGGCGUUCAAGGAUAACACGUUCGAGUUCACUGUCAAGUCUCCGUCGGUGACUUGGUACUUGAAAAAGGCAGCCGGGAUCGAGUCCGCUAGCAGCCGGCCGGGACACGUGAUGGCGUCCACGGUGACGUUGAAGCACGUGUAUGAGAUUGCCAAGAUAAAGCAGUCGGAUCCUUACUGCCAGUACAUGUCGCUUGAGUCCAUCAGUAAGUCGAUCAUCGGGACGGCCAAUACCAUGGGGAUUAAAGUGGUGAAGGAUUUGGAAUGAGAAAGAAGAUAACUCAGAGAAGGAGAAUCUGUUUCUAGCUUGCUUUUUCCCUUCAUCCUUAGUUUAGCUUAAAAGCAUUCAGUUUUAUCAGUAUUUUUAUUGAUAUGCUGCAAGUCGAAAGAAUGUUCAUGUAAAACUGUUUAUGGAAAUUUCUCCAGUUGGAUUCUUCCAAUAUCUGGCAUUCACCAUGUAUCAUUAUUUUACAACAUUUCAUUCACCGCUGCUGCUGAUGGAAGAGCCAAAUUGUGUUAAUAAAGCUACAGUUGGUGGGAUUUUCCAUUUGAUCUAUGAUCUAUCUAUCUAUCUAUCAAUCAAUUAACUGCGUUUCAUCAGUUGAUCAGGAUUCUACGCAGGGAUGCUGAUAAGUGAAGUCUUGUCAGUUACUGUAAGCAUAGAAAUGUUCCAAGUGAUAGAAGAUACUGUAAUUCCAAGUCUUCUCCUGCCCAUCUCUUACUGUGAGUUGUCACUAGCUCCCUGUUUCUUCAUUUUGAGACUGUGUGGCGUGUUCGCAUAUAUGGUGGUAUAAGGUAUGGAAUGAGGUUUUGUAUAAGCAUUGUAGUUGCUUGAGAUAGUAUCAAAUUAAUGCAACUCUACUUCUCUUUAGUGAAGCAAAUAUUACAAAUACGAUAUCUUCUCCACAUGGCCACUCUGUUAUACAUAAUCAGGUUAACUACCACUGUCCUUGUCCUAAUAAUGAACUCUGUGGAAACAAACCUAUACAUUAGGCUUUGCCUGUAAUCAUUUACAACUAUCUUUAAGCAUUAGGGCUCCAUGUAUGCUUUCUGGUUUUUGGUAUUGCUGCCUCUUGAAGAUUUUGUGACCAGGAGCUAGGAUGGCCAAAGGAUCGUAAGUUAACUUCCUCUUUUGGAAAACUUCCCACUUGGAACCAAAGUGAGCUUUCCAGUCUUCUUGUGUUUUGUAAUGAGCCAAGUAUUGCUUCACCCCUAGACCUGCAGCCGAACAGAAGUCUAGUAUCCGUUGGUUUCGUGCUAAAAUGUAGUCCAAGCCAUCUUUUCCUGUUGAAAAUGGCAUUGCCGAUGCCAGGAAUGAAACAUGGUAAAAAACAUCUUCUUUUGGUGUGAUUAAUGACGUUUUCUUGACGUUGUUCCACCUGAAAUUUUGGAACAAAAGCAUAACUUAGUAGAUGAUCUUUGCCUGCUUGCUUUAGAAUCGUUCAUUUGGAUGGUUCAAAUGAUAUAGAGAAGUACUUUGAUUGGUUAAGUGGGUAAAUGAGGAUUGGACCAUUGCUCCCGCCCGUGAGAAUGUUGCCAAACACCUCAUUUGCAAACUCAACCAUCUUGCUUCUCGGAAUCAGAAGGCUUAACCAUGGAUGUGGAACUUCCCACAUCCCGUUUUCUCUCAGAUUUAUCUCAGAAACAUGGACUCUGUCCAGAAAUUUGAGGUAAGGGACUUCCGAGACAAAAAGGGUUGGUGCAAUGAAUUGCAGCUCUGACAACAGGUCCUGGAUUUGCUGCAAAAGAUUGGGAGUAGCUGAACCAGUUAAUCAUCCAAAUAGCUUCUCUUUUGCUUAUUGUUAGUUUUUUUUUGUUAACAUAAAGAUACUUACCAUGUCAAUAGUGUCACCCUCGUCUUGUAGGUUGUAAUACUUUGCAACCUCCAGGCAGUAGAGAGUUUUACCAUCAGAAACAAAUUGGCUGGCUUGAACUGGAUCCUUAGGAUGGAAAGAUGAUCUCCAGUUGUUGAGGAUUCCAGUUCGGUUUAUAAUCACGAACCCUUCGACAUAGUCGAAUGAUUCGUCCAGCGAUAUCAAAUGUUCUUGGUCCCUGGAAAACUUGGAAAAAUCUGAGUACAGAACUCUAAUCCAUUUCACCUGGAAAAUAGCAGCACAUGAAAGAUAAAACAAGCUGCCUAUUUCUCCAUAUAGUCGCCAAAUAGUCCAACUUAAAAUUAGGGUUACCAUAUCUGGUGCAGGUUCCAGAGCGACUGUUGCUCGGGUCACGAUCCCGAACUGUCCAAGCCCUCCAAGCACACUGAAAAACAGCUCUGCAUUCUGCUUCUCUGAACAGGUAUCCACUUCUCCUUUACCUGCACAGUUUCUCGGAUUAGAUUGAUAGAUCACACGAGUAAAUGAAUAUGGAGUUUGCAAUGAUAUUCAUUUCUUUUAACGAGGAAAACAAAUAUAACAAUAGGGAAAUUAGUUGUGAGUCCUCAACGGGACUCGAACCUUCCCCCUGAUAGGUUAUUGGCCUCCCUUUGCUAAUUAUUUUUCAGCAUUUGUUUUCUUAUUUUUUCCCUUCACACUCCGUUUCCACCACAGAAAAGAAUAAUGAAACCAAGAAUUACCAGUGACAACUUCCAACUGCCGGACGUUAUUGAUCUGAGGGCCAUGCCGGAAAGCUUGGCCACUGAUGCCGCCGUUGGACAGCGUCCCUCCAACGGUGAGAUGCAAGUAAUCCGUCCACGAUUUUGGCGCCAACCCAUCUUUCAAUGUCUCCUUAAGAACAUCAAUCCACAUCUCCCCACCUGACACCUCCACGUAGUACCCACCAUCAUCUUCUCCAAUAAAGCUCUUCCUCCUCGGAAGAGACCCCAUGUCGAUCACCACCCCACCGUGAGCUUGUGCCUGUCCAUGGAGCGAGUGGCCGCGCCCUCUAGCAGCCACUGUAAGUCCUCCCACUUUGGAUACGUGGUUCAAUGUGCUCGCUAUAUCGGACACUGAUCUCGGAUGUAGGACAGCCACUGGCCGGAAAAAGAACCGGUUUCCAAAGUCCUUGGCAGCAUCUGCUGUGUCGUGGUAGCUGAAGUAGCCAUCUAGUUGUAGAGCUAGUGUUUCGACGGAAGGUGGAAUUUCGCCGGGGAUGGUUUCAGGGGUUUGGUUGAUGAAGGGUUGGGUUUGGUGAGGUAUGAAGCAGAGGGAAAUGAUGGCGAGGAAUCUCAGGUGUAGUAUGAUGUGGUUGCAGAAAGCGAAAGGGAAUUGCGAUUCCAUGGUUUUAGUUGUUUGUGUCUAAGAGAAAGUUAUGGAUAGAAGAGAGAGUACAGAGAGAUUAGGGGAGGUUUUGGAAAGUCUGUGAAAGUUUGGAAAGGUGAGAAGGGAAUUUAAAGGGAAGGAUUUUGGGCGGGGUUAUUCAUUUCAUCUUUUUGGGGUGCCAAGUCUCUAGUUUUAGAAAGUUUGGCAAUGGGGAGAAUUCAAAUUUACAUUCGAUUGCAAUCACACACCGUGUUUAUGCCGCUAUCCGAUGAACGUAUAAAAGAUGGUGUUGAGUGCCGAUUUGGCAAACACUUGUUUGAUUGAUGAUCACUAACAUCAUGCUUGAUUUUGUUGCGAAACAAAAGCAACCAUCCCGCAUCCUUGAUUUAGGGCUCAUUAUUAGAAUGUGUUUCUAAACAAGUGACAUUUGAUUUCAGCUUCAACAACAUAGUCAUUUCACUUCACCCCCAAACAAAAUUAAAAUAAUAAAUAAAGAUAGUGGCACAUUCCAUUUUAUGAAGUAAAUAUAAAUUCAUGUCCCCUGAAAGGCAUGAGCUACUAUUACACACAACUUUAGCCUUAUAAUUGAUGGUUUGUAGGAUGCAAAGUUAUUGAAUACCACCAAUCACACACUCAGAUUCGUGUAGGCAGAGAUAAAUAAUUUUAAUUUACUUUGCUUCCUGCUCUAAAAUGUCACAAGACAAUGAAUGAGAUGCUGCCACCUGGGAUUUCCCCUUUUGAGUUGGACCAAAUUCUACACUAAAUUGAAUGUCCAAAAAAACAUGUGAAUGGCUUCGUAGCAUUGAGAUUUUUUGUCUUUCUAAAGUGGCAACUAUUUAGGUACGGAUACCUAAUUUCACCGUCAUUUUUUUAACCAACUUUAUUCGAGGUGUCACAGAAAGUCUUUGUUAGGUGCUGGCUAAUCUACUUCUUUCUAUUUAUAGCCACAUUGCUUCCUUACUUGGACCUCUUCUCUGUGUUAACAUCUCUGAUUCAAUUGAGUUGAACAACUCAUUAACAAACAAGCAUGCACAAUAAUUAGUAUCCAAUAUGACUAACCCCGUUAUGAGUUUAGGUCGUGCACAUGGCGAGACGCGAUCCUAAAACUUUAUACAUACUGGACUUCCUCUCUUAUCAGUUACGCAAAGCGUUACAAGAUGCAAUUCUAAAACUUUGCCUAGACCCGACUUACCGGUCAGUCAUAGGCAAAGACAAGGCGAGAUUCGAUCCUAAAACAUACGUCAUCUAGAACGGACCAGCUAAUUACGAUCUGACAAGAUAUGACAAGGUAGAAUCAACCCCCAUAUAUAUAUAUAUAUAUAUAUAUAUACUCUGUUCUGUUGUUGUUGUGAGAGUUAGCUAGGCAGGAGAGAGGAGAUGGAGGUUUCAAACAGAACACCAAUAAAAUGGUGUCAUGAGUUUGACUGAUGUGUGUUAGUACUGUUAAAUGUGUGGUCAGUCAGAAAGUGUAUGAACAGAAGAGAAGAAUAGGCACUGAAAUAGAACUGGGCCUUGAGAGGGGAGAAGGCUUAGUUAACUGGGAGGGAGGCCCCUACUACAUCUGCUGCUGCUGCUGCUGCUUCCAACGAGGGGGAGGUCCUUUCCUCACAGUCCAUCUUUGACAAAACAUACCUACAAGACUUUGAAGAAAGAGGGAGACGUGGCUCCCUUCCUUGCCAAUUUUUCGUACUACAUAUAAAUAACUUCAUCAGCACCAACACUACAUGAUCUAGAGAGUGCUAUUUUGGAUGAAUUAGUGCUGUUUUGUUUGAACUUGAUGAAUAAAAAUGGUGACAGUCAAUUCAAGUGGGGUUCUUCUGCUUUCUAUAAAAAGGGUGAAAAUGGGAUCAAAUGUGAAAGGAGAAAUAAUGGAUGAUGGUUUGGUUUGGUUUGGUUUGGUUUGGUUGGGAAUCAUUUGAGGAAGGGAUGUAACGUUGUUGGGAAUGGAAUCCAACACUCCAAAGCCCAAAGGUGAUUUGAUGCUCAUAGGCUCAAUAUAUAUAUAUGUUAGUGUGUGUUCCCCACAUUCAAACUGUCAUCUCUCUUUAUUUUUUAUUUUUUAUAUAAAAAAUAAAAUCAAUAUAUGCCCUCUUCCACCACUCAUUUUUCACCCCUAAUAAGUGACUUAAUUAUUGGUGUAUUUUUUAUUCCACCAAAAUCGCAACAACCGGAGUUGCUGUUUUAACAAAUUGAAAAACAAAGAAAAACAAAGCUAACAAAAUGUAAUUACAGAACCGUUAUCAUCUAUACAAAUUACAAAAAGCAAGAAGACAACGAGUGACGAUGGGAUUGCGCCUGAUCACAUAAAGCUUCCAACAAAUGCGACCACCCAACUGAACUUCAUUCAUCCGAAUUCCUGUGAAGAUCCUUCUACGUCAUUCCUUCCAAACGUGGCUCACAAGACAUCUCCAGACCAAGUUUGCGGCACGCGAGGCAAGAGAAAUACCAGGAAAAUGGCUGGUCAUCCAACAGAUUUCAUCAUGACAGUCAACAAGGGAGACAUUACGAGGAAAAAAAUCUAUCUCGCAAACAGGUGAUAUAGGGAAAAGUAAGGAAAAGAUGAGAGAGGGUCUCACUAACAGUAUUACACAAGCAACACAAGGGAUCAAUAAUCACAUCCCACUUAAGCAACUUGUCCCUCAAAGGUAAUCGAUCAAGCACGAUCCGCCGGCUUAUAAACGAUACCUGGGAAUGAUGGGUGAGCUUCAAAAACCCUAGACCUCUACUUCUCUAGGCCUAGACCCUUGUGGCUCUAAGGCAGCGAUUAAGCCAUUUACCCCGGACCAUGGUUCGAUCAUCCCGGGCUAGGGCCCAUCACUUAACGUUACAUGAAAAUUCGUAACCAAUCUUGUGUUAUUAUUGGCACAAGAUUUUGUUUGUUUGGUUUUUUCAUUAUGGAGGACAUAUAUCUAGGCAUUUGGCCAUUUUUAUAAAGAUGAAGACUUUGCAAUUUUGUUACCAAAAGGGAGCCAUGUGUGAGUGUAAAGUAAAAAGGAAGGAAGAUGUAGCAUAGGAUAGGUAGGAACAUGAGGGAGGAUCGGGAUAGAUAAUGUCGGAUCCUUACACACACACACACACGUGACUUUUUGGGCUUAUAAUAUACAUAUAGUUUAAUUGCAUGUUCAACAUUUCAUGAUCCUCUUCUUCUUUUGCCUUUCUUUCUUUCUUUGCUUUGCCAAGCCUUCAUAAUGCACCAACCUACUAUACCAUAUUCGUAGAGUUUGGAUUUCUUCGUGUUAGUUACAAUUGCUGGCAGCUAGAGAUGUUUGUUUGUGUCCGGUGUUUUCGUUAGGACCAUUGGGUCGGUGGACAUUGAAAGUGACGAGUACUUUCUCGAUUGGCUAGCAUAAUUAUAUGUUGUGUUGUAGGUGGUGCAAUGACUACGCGAGUUUUAUAUGUCGGCUUGGAUGAUAUAUUUCGGCUUAAAUAUCGCAUUCUGAAUUAUUUUAAUCAAAAUGACUCAUUUUUAAAACAAAAGUGAGAAGUCAAUUUUAUCCUUGAAAAAAUUAGAGUUAUGUUCAUUGUAUUAGUUUUGUUUUCUUCUAUAUAAUUUUUUAAUUUUUUUUAAUUCAAGUCUGUGUUUGGAUCAAUCCUACAUUCAAUUCGCCAGUAAUUUUAGCCUAUAAAAUUAUGUAGCGAGCACCUUAUCAUGAAAGUUAACUAAAUUUACUAAUAAAUAUGAAACUUGAUUCGACUUGGGAUGAUAAGUGGGGAAAUCUAAUUAAAAAAGUGCAACCAACCGGUAUAAUUUUUUUAUGAAAGGAUGGUACUCGAAUUUGUCAUUACUCUAAGACGUUCAAUAUGAGUGUACAUCGUGUCCAUCGGAGGUACAUACUCCACAAACUGAGCUGUAUGGCCGCGGGUUUUUACAAAUUCGUUAACCUCGAUUCUUGCUCACCAAUAUCCGAAUAACGGCAAAGAAAAAGAGUCAUCAGAAAACAUCAGCAAAAUAACGCACACAAAUGAGUUACUACUAAAAUAAGACCUAGUCAUGGACACUACAUGGUCCUUAUUGGAAACACUAUAAGGCUACUUUCAUAGUUAUUUGUCUGAUCCGCUUAGUUGAGUGGUUCUAAAUCGGCCGUGGUAGGCUGACCGGUUGGUCCCAAGCCGAGCUUUUUGAGCGACUUGUGCGAUUUUUGCCUUGAGGUUUCUUUAGUAUCGAUCGGAUCCGACGGGCACGUAUCACAAUAGCGUGGAGUGGGUGUUGGUCGAGUCAUGGCCAUUGUUUUGAGAGCGGAUGUGAUGAGUUGUGGCGGAAUCAUUGUGACGACAACUUCAACAAUUGCGGUUAGGGUUUCCAGAUGGGGAACUCUACGUGAGAGUACAACUUUCACUCCGAACGAGAGAUAACUAGGCAACAUUACAAUAAAAAUCGAAAAGAUGAAAAAGAUCAAAGAAACUAAAAACGAUUGCGGGAGCUAUAGCGGCUAAUAUUUGCCUGUCAUUAAGAGCUUUUUUUUUCGCGCGCAACUAAUAUAGAUCGGCUGUGAUUUCGUUCCAACCAGUAUAAUUAUUAAUUAGAAAGAAAGAAAGAAAAAAAACAGUAAUGAUGAGGAGACCAAAUUCCAACCAGGUUUGUUACACAAUGAUUUGAUAGAGAGAAGAAGUAAUUACGGAAGCCUUAGUUGAGUGGGUCGUGGACCGGUGGUCGCUUUCGCCGGAGCCGGAGGAUACGGUGGUUGAGCCCCAGUGCGCCACGUCAGACUGCAAUUUGAUGAAUGUCGACUUGGACUUCUUUUGUUGGUUAAUUUAUGUUCAAUUAUUUUGCUUUCAAGGUUUAAUUUUUGUCUCUGUGGGGUUGAUUAUAUUGUGUGGUUUCAAUCUAGAGGUUAUAUUUACGAUUAGAAAGUUUCAUUCUCUCUCGUAAGGAUAAUUUCACCAAGUAUAUAUAUGCAACUAAAAAGGUUUAAUUUCUUUUUUAUUUUUAUCAAAUUACACCGAUGAUGUAUAUUUCAUUUCAUUCAACCUCUCCUAAUAGGCGUUUAUCAUUGGUCUAACCAUUACUUUAAAGAUCCAUAUAGAAAAUGAUUUAUAACGGCGACUCUUUAUCGUUACUAUUUUUUUCCCAAAGCCCCAAUAACUAGCUAAAAUGGUGUACAUAUUUCGAGCUGUAUAUCUCACAGGUGGGAUUACAUAAGUCGUAUGUUUUUUGCAAGUAUGUUUUUUUCUUUCAUAUAAGACAUCAGACAAAUUGAAUGACCAAUGAAGGUGAAGAAAAGGAUGGACAGUAACCUAUAAAACAAGAAGACUCUAAAACGUAACAAAUGCGAGGUGCAAAAAAUCAAAGAAAUAUGAAAUGUCGAGCACAGACACCGAACAAAGGCUAAGACUAAACAUACUUGCCGAAGAGAUCCUAUGAUCUGCUUGAGGUUGGCUAGGUCCUCAUGCAUAGCUGAAAUCAGACUAUGUAGCUAGGUUGGUCGCCUUCAGCUGAUCUGUGUCAUGGUUGUUACACCGACGAUGUUCUUUCAGGAUGGACGACAGAGACUCAACCUCGAUCUCGACACACAUUUAUGACUGCCAGACCGUUGUCGUGGUUUGGGUGGAGCCGUCGCUGAUGUCGUCGACUUGUUUCUCCGCUCCAGAGGAAGAUGGCGGGAGGAUGGUUAUAGCGGUGGUCGCCGAGAUUUUGAUAGGGUCAUCGAAAAGGUCGAAGUUUGUGGUGAUGUCGUCAACGAGAAGAGAUAAGCGGUGAGUGAGGCAGCUGAAGGCGAAUAAGGAGUGAAAAAUCCUAAAGUUGCCUUAUGAUUUAGGGGAAAACAGAGCACUGCAUUUAGAGGAAAACAACCGGAUAAGUGAAACUUAAGAGUGAUGGACAAUCAACAUCUUUAUUCGGGGUUCUUAAAAGAAUCAUUGUAUUACAAUAAUUUAAAGGAUAUUUCGAACAAAAGUUCAUGAAGUUUUUAUGUUACCUAUAAGGUAUUGGCCAUUAGCCAAAAAAUAAAGUGAAAUUGUUGGAUGAAGUAGUUAAGCACCCCAAAUAAAUUUAUAUUGUUGCCAUAGGAACAAAUAAAUGAAGCUAAAGAUCCAACACAUGAUGAGCGAAACCAAGAAAUUCAUUCUGGGGGGUUUUAAAAUCAUGACAAAUAAAUAGUAAAGUAUGCCCUAUUCUAUUCUAUUCUAUUCUAUUAUAUGACAAUGCACAUUAAUUAGUAAAAGAAUAGUAAAGAGGUAACAAGGAGAAUAAAUGAAUGAAUAAUUGCUAGUUUUAGCCGGGCGUGAUUUGGUCGAUGGAAUAUUAGAUGAAUUGUAAUAAUAGUAUUUUUUAUGUCGGCUGAAAAUUUGGAUUCCGAUAAAGUAAUCUAAAUUCUAUUUAACGAUUUAUUUGUCAAAUCAAACCUAAAUUUAUUUUUAAAAUGAUACCAUAAGUAUCAACAAAUACUAUCAAAGUGUGACAAAUCAUUGCAUCUUAAUNNNNNNNNNNNNNNNNNNNNNNNNNNNNNNNNNNNNNNNNNNNNNNNNNNNNNNNNNNNNNNNNNNNNNNNNNNNNNNNNNNNNNNNNNNNNNNNNNNNNNNNNNNNNNNNNNNNNNNNNNNNNNNNNNNNNNNNNNNNUAAAUAUAAACUCACUUCAUUUAAGUCAUGUUUUUAUUUAAUUUAUUGGGUUUGAAUAUAAAACUUAAAACUGGUGCAACAUUAGGAUGAAUGAAGAUAUUGGUAAGACAAAUUUGAAUACAACAAUCUUUGUAACACAACAUUUAAAAUGAAAAUUGUAGAAUAAGACAGAACACUGAACAUCCCUCAGUUUCAUUCACAAAAAAACAAGAACCUGUUACAUGUAAAAAUUGUCUUCGUUGGACAAAUCCGGUACGACCACAACUAUAACCUUCAGAACAUCAAAAUUGAAGAUUCUUUCGCCUAUUAUAUAAUAAAAUAAUAUUAUUUAUACUAUAACUUAAUACUUCAUGACCUGACCGAGGAAGUCAUGUCCUGGAAGUAGACGAGUGCAAAUUCUUCGGCGGUGGGUUUCCUCCGGAGAUCAUGACAUGAAUGUAGAAGCACAGCAUUGCAGCACUAAUUGCUGCGUAAAUCCCUGCUGGGAGGAGGCUCUUUGUCUGCAAUCAUAUCUUAAGUUAGAGAUCGGAAGUUCAGUCAGACAAGAAGAGCCUUAACAAAGAUCUGAUUGCUGAAUACGAACCAAUGAAUAGACCUCGAUGUUCUUCCACAGAAGAGCUGCCGAAAGCACUGCAUGAACAUAAAAAGGGGAGUACCCGUUAGAUAAAAAUGAUAAUAAAGAGAUUUAUAUCACCUUCACAGUAUUGGAUUCCUAUACAGAGUAGUAAGGUAUUACAAAUCGUAAUUUAUAGGACCCUCCAUGGACAUAAAUGCAUAGCUGAUGAACACGCUUAAAGAAAGGUGGAACUCAUACAAGUAUCAGUACCAAAUUAACAGUACUCGCUAAGAAGCUUCACAGGCCAUGUAUUCUUUCAAAAUUGGUUGGCAAACUACUUAUUGUUUCCCAGGAUCCAAGAGGAUUCAUUCUAAACACAAAUGUCUUACCAGCUUGGCCGAAGACGAAUGGUAAGCUGGACUUCCCUUGUCUCCAGAUCUUCAAGCUGUAAGAGCUAAGCGCCAGUAAACCGCCUCCAAUUAGCAGCCCACUAAAAGUUGUAAUAUUUCUUGAGAACAAUAGACCAAUGAGCCCUCCACUUAGAACAAGAGCCCCUGAGCACAGAACCAUGAAGAUUUUAGUAACAGUAACUUUUGAAGCAUUUUGGCUAGUAAAAAAUCAUUCCUUUACCCUUCCAAUCAUAUUAGGAUUCUAGCGGUUAAGAAUGUUGUAUAAACCCAGUAUGAACAUCUCCUAACAACUCGAUUUAUUGAAAUGUAAUGGUUCUUCACAAGGUAUCAGAUUCAGUGACCGAGAGAUCAUGACAUUGUAUACUAUUCACUUGCACAAGGCUUGGCGGAUCUAUGCAAACUUCAAUCUCCUUUCAACUUUUGAGGGACUGUGUUGGUGGAUCUCAAUGUUCACCGUCUAAUAAUGGUGAUGAUAAUUGCCACUAAUACAUUCACCCAACAAGUCCCCCCUAGUUUCCAACAUUAGCUAUCAAUGCCUCCUAGAAAUUCCACAAUCGGAAGAAAUUGGAAAACUCACCAAACGGAAUACCGAAACAGAAGUCAUGGAUCAUGGCUGAACCAUAGGCGCCAUCUUUUCCGUAAUCAAUCUUCUUGCUCUCUUCCAAAUUACUCUCUUCUCCGUACGGCAGCGACUUGGAUGCAGAUUCGUACCCCAUGUACGGAUCCGGGUUGGAAGCUUCCCUAUCCGGCCGUUCAACGCUCCUAACAAUCGAUAACUGCGAGAAAAUAUCAUAAAAAAAAUCGUUUUAACAUAUGGAACAGAGAAGCAGUAAACCUAGAAGAAGGAAAGGAGAGCAAUGGAGAAAUUCGGACCUUGGGGAGAGGAGGAGAGGACGGGGAGGAGAAAAGCCGGCGACGGUGGAGGAGGUGGAGCUGGUGAAGGUUGCGGUUGAUUGGGGAGAAGCAAGAGAGCUGCGAGAGUGUGGUUGAUGCCGUCGUCGUCGUCGCCGCCAUGGCCAUUGUCGCUGGGAGGUUGUCGGUUUGUGGAGAGAUCUGAAACGAAAUCGAUCAAAGAGGAAUUGGUGUACGGCACUGUUAGAAUAGUUCGUUAUUUUGUUAUUCUUUCUUUCAAACAUAAACACGUGUUCUUCCCCCGGUGUUGUUGACUAAAAAUAUCAUGUACUUUUUAGGGUUGGGUAAAUGGGUCGGCUUAGUGAUUUAUAAGACAAUCAGUGUGUAAGAUAUUAACUUCCCACAAACAAAAAGAUAUUAAUCAAAAGUUUCGGUUUACUCCACAAAAUGAAAUCAACUCUUUUGAAUCAUGUUAGACCUUGAUACUUAUAUGUUCGAACAAACCUAGAUCAAUCUGGCAGUGCACUCGAUUCUCGACAGUCAAUCCCGAAUUGGAAAAUUGGAUACCGAACGAGAUACAAAAUGAAGAUUUCACAUGUAUAUAUAUAUAUAUAUAUAUAUCAGCAGCUAAAGCACAACAACAAGGUUACAGCAUUCUCUCUAACAAUCCUCUCUAUUUGGUUGUUGAUGUUGUCCAAUAUGGUGUAUAACAGCUCUCUGUAGCAUUCCUUGGUAAUUUUGACCCUGUUGAGAUGAAGGGUGAAAACUGAAGUUAGCUGGCAGUUUUUUGCCUCAUCCAUUUUGUAGCUGACCAUUUCUCUCCUGAGAGAACCUUGCAUCCUCCGUGUAUGCUCUUCGGAUCCGAUUCACCAUCUAAACCCUGUCACCAUCAACAAGGAUUUGACAUAACAUCGUCAUCCUUUCGAUAAGUCGUCGGAUUCUUGGUGAUACAAUUUCAGAUGUAAAAAGAGUUUAAGAAAGUGUACCAUGCUCCAAAAGAGAACCGCGUCUCCUUUAACUGGCUUUACGGACAAGCCUUUCAUUACCUCCCCACCGCAAGUACACUGGCCUGAUCCUGCCUGGAAUGUGCCACAGCUUUCAGAGACAGAAAUAAAGAUAUACAAACGAUAAUUCUCACACGAAAUGGGUUUGAAAUGAUUGUGUAUGAAUCAAUCUUCCAGUUAAGACCAAAUUCGAGCGGAUCUUGGUUUUCUUAACUGAUAAAGCCAACGGCUUUACCAUUAAAAAUAUAAAUAACGCACAAAUCGUUAACUAACAAUUACCAGAGGGAAAUAAGUUUCUCCACCCUCGACAUUGUCGCUCAAGUACAUCAACAUUGUUGCUACUCGCUGGCCGCCACGUUGAAUGUUAAACUAUGGAGAGGACAUGGAAGGUAACAAGUCAAUUUGAGGUUAAUAGACUACUAUGGUUAGAACGAAGAAGCAUGACUUCCAGGCAAGUUUUGUAUUUGCAAUGUGACGCCUGGGAGUUUUACUUACAGUGUCAGAGAAGUAGUCAUGAUGAGGUUUGUAAAACUGUUCCUUCUCAUACCUGCGCUGCUGCAGAUGUGAGCCUAGGUACAAUUAUAAUACUAGCUUGUAAUAUGGGAACAAUUCUUCACAUGUACAUAAGUUAGACACCCACCUUAGUACUUGGAUAAGCUCACCAUUCUCGGAAGGAACUUGAGAAUACACGGCAAUCCUUUUCUCAAUAGCCUGAUAGAACAAUGAAUACAGGUGAAAAUGAAUUCACUUCUGCAAAAGCUUAGGAAACCAUAAAAGGAAAUCGCCCCAUCUGUUGUCUUCGAGUAAGAUUAAAAGUAGAAGGCCGAAAGCAGACUAACCUUUACCAAAGGAUACCUUCUCUCGGCCGAACUUAGAAACAUUCCAGAGCUUGUUCUCACGUUACUCUUUAUACCCUGCACAUAGACAUAAACCAGGUUAAGUUGCCAUUUUAAAACAAGAAAAGUGACAAUGAUAGGAGCUGACAUAUCAUAAGGAUGGUUAUUUGCUUUAUACCAAUGAUUGGAUAAAGAUUCCAAUUGAUGCUAUGGUUCAUUUCAAAGAUAACUAAUUAGUAGAUAUAGAGAAAAGAGAGAAUAAUUAAUUGGUACUUGCAAUGAAUCCACUAAUUUGUGUCAAAGUGACUCGAACUAACAGAAACAGAGAAGGCAAACAUAUAUUGCACAUAACAGUAUUGGUGUGAUUAGGCACUAUAUCUACAAAAUUAGAUAUUCAGUAAUAGUGCUAGUAGAUAUCAAUUGGUUUUUCCCAUAUCAUGACUUUUGCUCUCUUGUAAUUACAUAUCCUACAAAAUAGAAGCGUAGCUUAACAAUGGAGACCAUGCCCUUCAACAAUUGAUACACAGUAACGAGUAUGGACUAGCAAGCAAGCUACACUCGAAAAGCAGUCCAACAGUGAAAACAGAUUUAAAAUAAGUAUUACACAGAGAAAGGAAUACUGUCUCGAGUGCAGUACCAAGCACCUUCUGGAAAAACUGAAAUGAUCGAAUUCAAUACAACGGGAAACUCAGAUGAAGAAGCUCAGGUAAUAAGUCCUUGACUUUAAUUCAUGCAUGCCACUAAAUCAGUCUAACACCAGGACGGGACAAAUCAGAAGAAUACAGCUGUCUAUCCAGAGAGAGAUCGAAGAAUAACGUAUCACAUACCUUUCCAGUUUUUGCAUCCACGACAGUUGAAACCUGAAGGCGAGGUCGAGCUAAGGCCCUAAGAUAGUCACAUUCCUGCAUGUAACAAACUAUUGGUCAGCGUCAAGAUUUUAGACCAAGUGAUGAUGGAGGAUGAUAGAUAACAUCAUUUAUUGGAGGGAAAAAUUUCAUAUUUUAUGGACACGCCCAUCAUAAUUGCAAGAUUCAAUGUCCACUAGCAUUUCACUGAAGUUCCAAUUGCGAACCAUAAAAUAUCAAUUCUAAACAAGAGUGUGGCAAAUAUCCAAUACUAGUGUCGUUGCGUUGUAGCGUUGAUAGAAAACAUGGUUUGAUUGCAGUCUACAGGGUAAACCUAAUUGAUUAAUUCAAAGUCCAUGUGUAAGCCCCUGUUGAACUAGCAACACUACAUAAUGCAGAGGGCACUAACAAGAUUUUAUUUUUCCAGCAUCAAAAGAAUGCUAAUCCUGUUAAGAUACAGAUGUACAUACCUCCGUGCUCAAAAAGUUGUGCAAUACGAUGAUUCUUGGUGACCAGCUGAUAACUUCUGGUUUGACCUAUCAUGAAACAUCAAGGGAGACAUUAAGGUGGAUAUGCUGAGUACUUCUGUUGAAAGUUCUCCUAGACAAACACCAAGAAAUCUGGUGAGCGAGAUUUCAAAAAUUAAAAUAGCUUAUUCCAAAAAUGCGCAUAGAAAUAAGAACUAGAGUAUAUAAGAAAUAUAUAAUGAUAAGAGAAUGCAAAAAACCAGAAAACUAAAGGCAUCAAUGCAGUGUUCUUCCUGAGCAAGGUUACUGCAAGUUCAGCAACGUAGACAAAUAUAUUUAAGACACUACCGUUCUUCCCACUACUGUGUACUUAUAAUACAAACUACAAGAUCAUACUCAUGAGUCGUAUGUUAAAAGUCAAAACGGAACAUAUCUCAUAUUUUGCCUAAAAUAUCUUGAGAUUCGAGAAGAGCAACUUACAUGUCCAAUCCUCAGACUCUCUGCUUCUUUAUCAUUGUUCCAGUCAGGAAUUCCUGGAAAGAGAUGCGUAGGGGAUAUUUACAACCAGGUAGCUUUAUAAACUAUAAGUACUCCAAUUAACCAGGUCAGUUUUAUCAAACAAAACAAAACUUCUUGAUUUAAUUGGCUCAUAUAGUUAUGAUUACAAUUUAAACUAGGAUUUAAGCAGAUACUGAUACAUAUCAUCAAAUGCUAAUGGAUGCUAGUAGGCACUCAUUAACAGACAAUUUGUACCCGCUAACAGAUCAUCAAAUGCUAAUGGAUGCUAGUAUUUUCAACUGUGAUUUAGAUAACCAAAUCCAUGGUCAACUAAUGUAAACCUAACUAUCUCUGAUCAUGAGACGGAUGUCCGAGCAAAGAUUGAACCUUAAGUUAAGAAAUCAAAAGCUCAUCAGCAUCGCCAUUCAGGACCGCUCAACUAAAUAAUAACCAGGCGGGAAAAUGUAGUAAGCAGUUUAGUAGUUAUACUCCGAAGAGCAAAAUAAACUGUAGGAAAAAUGUCAAGGGUAUGAAAAUCCAAAGGACACGCAUAUGAAAAUCCAAAGGACAGAGAAGGAUAUAGAUACCAUAGGAGCUUUCCAAAUUCCGUAGAAAUGCUAACUCACAUAAGGCACCUGCAAUGCAAGAACAUACCUUGGUCAGAUGUUAAGCACCAGAAUAUUCAAUCACCGCUAUCACAAGGCACCUGUAGGUGUGCUGUGAAUAACCAAUUACAUCGCAUAAACAGCAAAGGGACUGAAGUGUCGCUCAUGCCAACGAGAAAGAUGGGUCGGAGCUCAGUGACACAAAUCGAAUGGUUCUUGUUUCUUCUCUCAGACUGUUAACAAACAAUCAAACGGCAUUACUUGUGCCAUCUCAAGAUAUUUCCUCCCCCUUCUACUAUCUCCAUCUGAGAUUCUCCAAUCAGUUUCACAUUACAUGAUCAGAAAGAACACUGGUAUAAAUAGUCAGGAAAAAAUCGAUAUCCAGAGUUAAAUGCUAGUUUAUAUGUCAGUAAACGGAAACUGUAACUGAUCAAGAGUCGUCUGAAGUAAGCAGCAACAGUCACAGACAAACAAAACCAACCCGAAAUGCCGGGCGAGAAGCUAAACAAUUACAACAUCAACACCUUCUCGCCGUAUAGAUCAAAAGGAGCCGAAUUUAAUCACUCAAGCGUAUUGAACAUAUGUACAGAGUUGGCUAAAAGGAAAAAAGAAUUGACAGCUAGCACGAGGAAGUAAGAAUCAGUGAGGGGCAGAAGAUGAUGAUGAUGAUGGAGGUUUACCAAUGAUCAUCCCGACGGUGACGAAAGUUAGGAGGCCGAAAACGAUCUUCAUCGCUGCGGCCAUCGCAUCCGGUGGAAGUAAAGAGAAAGUGAAGGGAGAAAGAAACGGAGGAGACGGAACAGCGUAGUAGUUUUGUUCGAUGCUUCUUAAGACAUUUGGACGGAACAGUGGAGCAUUGACUAGCAGAGAACCUAGUUUCCUUGUAUUGAGCUCUCCGUCAAAAUGUCCUUUUACACAGUUUUCCAGUUUCUCCCUCCCACUCCCAACUUAGCUUUGAUUUCGGAGAGACGGGGAGAUUUUAUUUGCCUUCAUACGGCGGGAUGGCUGAUGAGACAAAAACAUUACCAAGUUUCCUGAUUCCACUUUUUUCCUUCUCUGUUGGAUUGGACUAUUAUGCUCUUCUUGUUGUUGCUAAACCUUUCUAGGACCUGGCUAUAUUUGAUGCUUCCAUUGACAAUUUGGUGCGAGUUGAGUUCGGCUUGUUUAUUUUUAAUUCGGGUUGGACUUGGUUAGAUUUGGGUUCAAUUCUCCAGUUUGUUUAUGAAAUUGAGUUUUUGAGCUUGACUCGUUUGCAAUCAUAUCGAGUCCAAAUUUAUAUCGCAACAAAAAUAUGUAGAGUAAUAAGAAGCUUAUAGUUCAAUCACAACCCACACCACACAUAAUAAAAAUAAUGAGUUACCAAUGAACAAAAAGGAUCCAAACAUAAAAAUUUGAAUUGAAAUUUGUGUAUCGAGUAACUAAAUUACGAAUACUUUUUUUUAAACGUAAUACUAAGUUACAAUAUGCAAAAAAAACAUUUGUUUAUGUUGUUUUUAGUUAAAUCAAGUUGUCCAUGGGCCACCAACGAUUUUUUCCUCUAAAUUUACGACUGAUGGCUGAAAUUAUCUUGAAUCGUAGCUCCUCCGGGCACCCCCUAGAUCUGCCCCGACAAUGGAAUUGUUUUACAAUUUACAAGAAACACAAACGGCAGUAUGGACAAGUUACAUGCAGAGUCUGUCUCGCGAUCAGGUUUGGCGAGUCAACAAGUUGAGCCGACUUGAAAACUUUACGUGGAACUUUUCGCGAGCCAACAACCCAACCGACUCGCAAAUUAGUCCAACAGAAUCACCUUUGGUUAGAUCCAACAACUCAGAGAAACUCAAUUAAAAAAAAAACAAAAUAAAAAAAACUCAGCUCUAACUCAGAAACCAUUUUAGAGCUUCCCGGCCAUUUAAGUCCGAUGCAUAUGGCAAAGCAAAGCAAGAGCAAUAAGGAAAACCAUUAACAUUUUGUCACCAACUUAUAGGGGAAAUCAACAACAGAUAGUUAGAGAUGCUUAUUCACCAUCAUCAGCAUCUGACAACUCUGCUACGAGAUACAAAGAAAGCAUCAUACAACAGACACCAACAUUACACAAUUCAUCAAGCUCUCUUGCUCUCAGUCAUUAAGACGCUCCGCUCCGAGUAGCCUGCCUCAAGUAUCUUUCCAGAUUCUCGACUUCCUUAUGCUACAAGGAACGGCAGAACGGUUAGCAUGAACGUCUCGUAACUAAAUGUCGCUGACCCCGUGAACGCCAUGUCCUUCUCUUUAAACUUCUCCGUCAGCCCCUGUAUCCAAUUCCCAGCCACACUUUUUAUCAGCAUUGCUAACAAAGACGACAGGGUAAUUUGAACCAAAGUAAAAGCGCCAUAAAUCUUCCUUGUAUAUGAUACAACUCAUUCACAUGACAAAUCGAUGAACGAACUCACCUUAACAGUAAGACAGCACCUGCAUUGCAUUCCCGCAGAGAAAAGUACCAACACAUGAAUAAAAAGGGAAUAAUUAGAUCAUAGUCCAGAGAUUACACCCUCUGAAGGAAACACAAAAAAAACCUCUUACAGGAUCAAAGGAAUGAGAUAAGAGGGAUACAGAGGGGGCUUACUCGAUGAAGUUAUCGUAUUCAAUGGCAUUAUUCCUGCCACCAGUCUUGUCGAACUUGGACACCAACAGCUGGAGAACAACAGGAGAGACCGAAAAGCCAAGGCUCAACAAUGCCUCCUUCAGCUCGUUGGCAUCGAUUUUCCCGCUCCUAUCCCUAUCGAACCUCUCAAAAAUGCCCUGGUUUUUGGUUGAAUACCCAAGCAAACAAUUUAUUAAUCCAAAUAUCAGCACUAACCAUGUAAGCAAAGUAAGCAAAUGGUGAUCUUUCUUUCAUUAGCUAAGCCCAUCAACCACAAAUUGACAUGGGAACUGAUGUUCUUCACUUACCCUCCAGCUCUGAAGACUGUAAAACACUUGAGUGAAUUCUUUUGGUCCUGUAAAUGGAUUAGCAAAUUUCAUGUCAAAAGUCAGAACAAUUAGCGUCUGGUCAAAUGGAUUAUAAGAACACCAACUUUGAUUUCUAGUUCAUGUUGAAGUUGAAGCAGAUUUCAACUUAAUUUCUCGAUUAAUAAGCUUGUCAGCCUUGUAGCAUAAUCCAAGCCGUCAACCUCAAACGUAGGGCCAUUUUGAUCAAUUCAAAGGUCCCACGCUAAACGACAAGCGAAUUAACUAACCACCACAUCCACCGGCUGCGCGGAGGAAUGGCAGUCGUCACACAGCCAACGACUCCACCUCCACCACCGGGGAACAUUAGAAAAGGCAAGUAACAAUCAGCUAACGCGUACGAGAAAGAAAUUUCCAGAAGCGGUUAAAGAACUCCUUACCUAUCCUCCUGGUGUUGGUGUUGGUGAAGAGGUACAUGAGCAAAUGAACGGUCCUCAAGCUGAAGCUCUGAUUGUAGCUAGAGAGCGCCCUCUGGAGCUCCUUGUCGUCGAUGAACCCGCUCCCGUCCUGAUCGGCCAUCUGGAAGCACGCCACGAUGCUCGGAUCGGUCCCCGGAGGGGAAGCCGGAGGGACCAGGGAAGCGAAGGGGCUUCCGUAUGACGCGGAAGGCGGAUAUCCAGUUCCUCCUCCAUGACCAGACGACGCCGGGUGUGGCUUCUCCUUAGGCGGCGGAGCUCCGUAAGGAGCAGCGUAUGGGGCGGAAGGAGCGCCGUGGGGCUGCUGGUGCUGGUGAGAUGGAGAAGAGCCGUAAGGAGCGGAGGAGCCAUAUGGUUGGUGCGGCGGAGGGGCGGAGCCGUACGAUUGAGACUGGGGAUAGCCGGAGGAGCCAUACGAUUGAGGCUGUGGAGGGGAGGAGCCGUGCGAUUGGGACUGUGAAUGGCCGGAGGAGCCACCGUAGGGUGGGGGAGGUGAUGGGCCGCCGUAGCCGUAGGCGGAGGGAGGCUGGUAAGGGUAACCGGACAUGGUCGACGGUGUGACGUUGAUCAGAGAAGUUCAAUAAAUCGGAUUCGCUUGCGGUGGAAGUUGGUUAGUUUUAGGUGUCCGAUUGCGUUGCCUGUUUAUAUAUAUGAACGUGGAGAAGGAACGUAAAUUACUAAAGUAGGCGGAGGUGUUUGAUUUAUUACAGAUCUACCACUGCUGUUCUGAUUAACCAGUUAUUAUUUUAUUGUCCUUACGCCGUUACGCAGCUGACGGCUCCGCGGACCCCGUUCCUUCUUCGAAUAUUGCCAUGUUGUCUUGACUCGUAAGAUUACAAGGAAAUUUUUUGGAAAACCUAUCGUUGUUGGUAUAUUGCUCAUAAUGAUAGAGUAUUAGGAUGAUAGAUUAAUAUGUCUUUAUUUAUUUAAAAUUGUACACUAUUAUAAUUAUUCAUUAAACAUCCUUGUGGGCUGUGGGUAGUUGAUUUCUUCUAUUUGCUUGUAUCUUUGACUUGGUGUGAUCAAUGAAGGUAUUCUUGGGGAAAAUAUAUCUUAAUCAAGCCAAUGAAUGACAAUGAUGCCCACUUGGCUUGUACUAGUUGCCGGACUACUUGCAAACUAAGCCAACUUAUUCUGCUUCUUCUUUUGUUGAUUUUAAAAAAAAAGAAUAAUAUGUGAUAAAACUAGCUCGGUUAAUUACAGUCAAAAGUUUAUGUUAUCCUCACAAAUAAAGAAAAACAAAUAGAAACCGUUGGAUUGAGAUUUUUUCUCAAUCUGAGAACAACCUCGUGUGAAAUUUAGGAUAUCCCUACUAUCAGCUGCACCAUCCCACGCCGCCUUCAUCAUCCUCAAAACAUCACCUUCUUCUUCCCACAGCGCCAUCAUCGUCCUUAAAUCUGAAUCCUGUGUUUCAACGUGACUAAUCUCCAUAAUUCUACACCAUGGCGCCGAAGCUCACCAAUCCACACGCCUAUCAACUCCUCACCAGCUCCGCCACAAUCACUAAUGCCGUAAGCUUUCACAACGGCAGCCGACAUUCGUCUCGAUCCCUCAAGAGGAAGGCGCGAUGACCUUGUCGGAGCUCAUCACGGUCCAGGUGAUGGGUUUUUCCCUAGCUGAUAGCGACGAGGAGAUGUCGCUGAAGAAUACCACUCAUGCAUAUCCAAACAUAUUCCCAUUAUGCCUGGUGGAGUCUUUAUGAUAGCGACCGAGCUGUCAACUUCAACGCGCUGCAGCGGACUCUGCCUCUUACAUGGAAGCCGAGACGCACGAUGGAGAUGGAGGGUUUGGGAGAGGGUUGAUACCUUUUCGCUUUCAACACGAGGUCGACCCUCGUCAGAUCGUCACAGACCGGCCCUGGAACUAUGAUGGCAGCUUAUUAAUCCUCCAUGAGCUCCGUCCAAAGGAGCAUUCGAAAGAGGUACCCCUUCAUAUUAUUCCUUUAUGGCUUCGCAUCCAUGAGUUUCCAUUCCUGUACUUCUCCGAAGCUGUGGGCAGCGUCCUGGGAGAUUACGCAGGCACGUAUCUUGCCUACGACCCUAAAAACAACAAGAAAUCGUGGGCGGGCCAAUAUAUGCGCAUGCAUGUGGCUAUUGAUACCAGCAAGUAGCUACGUCGAGGAAAGCUGUUAGGGCUCCAUAACGACGAAGGAGUCAAAUGCAAAUUUCGUUACGAACGUCUAGAGAAGUUCUGUUACAUAUGUCGUAUCAUUGGUCAUACCGAUAAAUACUGCAAGUUGUUGUUUCGGAUCCGACAAACCUCAUUGUUCACAAGUGGGACGACUCAAUCAAAGUUACGUCACAAAACGAAAAGCAGAAACAGGCCAACAGGUACCUUACCAAUGGCGGCGGGUCAAAUGGGCAGACUUCCACAAAGGUCAUCGGCACGGCUCGAAAAUCCAACGGGCAACCAAGGGUGACAAACAGCAAAGCUGGAAGACAAGCCCAACUGACCGAGUGUAUGGGCGGCACAGCGGAUGAAGAAGAGUGCAUGGGCUGGUAGUAAUCCGACCUAAUCACCAAGAAAGGACGACCACUUUUUUACUACCGUGGUACUGGUCACCCCAGUGUGACCCGCCCAUUGACAUAGUCCUGGGGUGGGGUUUGCGGAUCGAGCAUGGACGAUUCCGACAACAUUUCUCCCAGAGUCUCAUUCACCACCGUUGUCGCUACGAUUUUCGGAUUGAUUUCCUUUUGAGUAUCUUUCAGUCGUUUUUGUUAUUUUUUUAUGUUUGCUCCUUCUAGCUUUCGGGAACAAUCUUGGUGGUGAAUGGUUUGUUUGAGUGUUUUUGAGUAGCUUCGAUUAGUAGUGUCGACUCAUAUUUAGUCUUUGAGAUGGAUGUGUUUAGCAGUGAGGUCGGUAUUGAGGAGCGCUAGGAUUUAAUGUAGUUAACUUUGGUUAAGUGCACCUUUCAUUGUACAUAAAAUCGUUAUGUGCACCUUUCAGUAAUAGUGCUAGUAGAUAUCAAUUGGUUUUAAUGAAGAAUAAGACGACGAACAUAAAAUCGAAAAUCAAACCUAUUAUUUUGGAGCGUUGUUUGCACUUCUCAUGUCUAUUUCAUAUAAGAUCCAAAUUUAUGGUGUUGAUUUCCCCCAAAAUAAAUCCAAAAUCAAACAUCCGCUCAAACAAAAUUUGAGAGAAAAAAUGAAGGUAAAGUAUAGAGAGGAAAGAAAUUUUGAAUUUGAAAUGAAGAGAGAGGGGGAAACUAUAUUUAUAGUGAGGGUGUCACAUCUAUAUAUUUGUUAUCGAUUACGUUCAUUAUUAUCACUAGACUUUUUUGUCUUGUUGGGACCCUAUAUCGAGGAGGCUAGAAAGCAUCAACACCAGAUUUUGCCGGCUCGAAAAGGUGAAUUGUUGAUAUUACCAUUAAUAUUAAUCUAAUUAAUCGAAAGAAAUGGGCAGUAAGUCUGGUGGUCCAAGAUCGUUAUGUACUUUACCUUAUAUGUUAUUAUGAAUGUUUUUUUCAUAAUUACAAAGUGUGGUAUUGUUGGUUGUUCACCGUAUCCAUUUACUAUGAGGUUGGGAGUUUGAUCCAUUGUCCAUGGGAAUGGAGUACACAUUGUGGUUAGUUGUUUAUCACCUUGAGCGAACACCCGCAACGAAAAAAUCAGUUAUUGCUGUCAGCGAUGAACACCCUAAUUUAAAAAAUGAAUGCUUUCUCCACCCUGCGGAUCUGUUUAGUACAUGUUCAGAAAACGAUGGUAUAAGUUGUAAAUCGUGGCCUUGAUGCAAUUUAUUAUCUUUAGAGGUGAUAGUGAUCAUAUCCCAACUGUAGAGGCAUGUCUUUUUAACAUUGCGUCCUACUGUAAACCUUUUAAAUUUGUUACCCUCAUGUUCCUGAAUCUUGGAAUAGAACUUCCGACACUAUAAUUAAUUAGAAAACUUCAAAAUAACUCUGUGGUAAAAUUAUACGUUUGUACAUGAUGUUUAAGAAAUUUUACGAUUCUCUAUCAAUUAUUAUGAAACUAAUUUAUUUAUUAUGCUGUCAUAUUCUUUUAUAAUUUAUAAAGGCGAUAUAAUAAAGUUAACGACGAAACAAACAAAAUUAAAAUGGACAUUUAUUUUUAACUAAUCGAAAGUCUCACAUCAACUUUUAAAAAAUAUUAAAUUAAUUUCUUUUCAUUAAAACAUAAAAUUAAUUAUUUGGAGUUUGGAUGGCUUCCUCCAGUCUUGUGUUUCUCGACUCCUCGAGAACCUCGACGCUACAAACAAGAAUCAUCUAAAGCUUGGAUUGAGCUUUUCGUCUUCUAGUCUUUCCUCCAUUAAUCGGAUCCUCUUCUCACUUUCGACUUCAGCUGCGUGCUCCUCUAGCCAUUACGUUGUCCCAUUUUCUAUCUGUAAACAAGUCUACACGAGAUAUUGCCGUGAAAGAGAGCGCUGAAGCUUUUCCAAACUAUUUUGCCUUCUGGUAAGCCAAAGGUAUGUUAUUCGAUUCCCACGUCUUUAAGCUCCACCUCUGAGUUACCCGUAACUCCAGAACCUGCCGACAAUCCCGAAUCAGAGUCAUCUGACAUCCCCACUUGGCUUCAAGACGUCAAUACCUCGGGAAGCCAGGACCCUGACGAUGGUCAGUUCUUUAUCCCUUCUCUUUCCAGGUUGUUUGGCAAAUCCUCUUCCGGGAAUCACAAGAAGGUUGGUAGACGCUUGCUAUCCGGACCAAACGAUGACGAGAUCGAAAAACGGUACCCCUCGCUACCAAGAUCGAUCGAAAAAACGGACUGGUUAGAGAGAUGAGAUCGGCGAGGAGGAUGGAGUUGAUCUGACCAUGUUGUGACUGUCGAUGCGGACGAGAUAGACAGUCUGAGAUCGACCUCAAUAAUUUUCUGCUGUUCAAUUCAACUUUGAAUCUAUUCCGGCGGCAAGGGAGGUCAAAUUUGGGGUAGGGCGGGUAAGGGAGAAAGAAAGCGUUGGGAGUUUUCACUUUUUAAUUAAUUUUUAAUAGGAAAGAAAUAAUGAUGUCCCAUAUUUUUUUGUAUGAUACGGAUUUGUUUGCCACAUCAGAUGAUAUUGUAUGCAAUUUGGUCAAUAUGAAUGAGUGAAACAUUAAAAAAAUUUGACAGCUCGAUAAAUAAAUUAGUUGUUUAAUAGUUAGUAGACAAUCGUGAAAUUUCUGAAACAUCAUAUAUAAACUUGUAAUUUCACCAAAAUAUGUCAUUUUGAAGUUUUUUUUACCUAUUUAUUAUAUAUAUUAAUUGAAAUGAGUAUAAAGUUAGAAUCCACUAUCUCUAAAAAAGGAUAAGUACAUUGGUAUAAGAAUAAUAGUAUCAUAUCAUGUAAAAAUGAACACAUAGCGUAGUUGAUAAAAAGAAAUUCCAUGGAACUCUAUGCGUUUUGGACGGCAAGAAUUUAAAGAUUAUACCCUACAGUUACCUCAUAUAGAUUGUGANNNNNNNNNNNNNNNNNNNNNNNNNNNNNNNNNNNNNNNNNNNNNNNNNNNNNNNNNNNNNNNNNNNNNNNNNNNNNNNNNNNNNNNNNNNNNNNNNNNNNNNNNNNNNNNNNNNNNNNNNNNNNCUCCUUCUGUUACUCCAUCAGUUAUCUUGUCGUUAUUUUUUGCCUAAUCAGCAUUGUCACGUCAUUCAAGAUGACAGGUGGCUUUUUAGUAUGAUAAUUAUGUCGUGUUUAAUUUUAUUUCUUAUAAUGAUUUUCAGUGGGGAAAAUUUACCCGAAUAAGCAUUUUUCUCCUUUAUCUCCGAGCAAUUCAUCUUUAUGCUUAAAUUGCAACUGUAACCACAACCCCUCAACCCAAGAUCAGGGAGGCGGCGAUCUUUUAUCCAGUUGAAUCAUAUUCCUUCUCCAUUAGUUCCUUCUUCAUCUAGUUGAAUAUAAGCAUCUUCCUCCUCCCAGUUGAAUAUAAUUCUCUUCAUCCUUCAUACCAGUAGAAUUAGUUAUGUGGUCAACCAUCAACCAAUUUGAUUUCACCCACCUUCAACAUUAAUGCACUCGUCGUCCUCCACAAAAGCCAUGAUCUGUUUCGAAAAUCGACUCAAAAUAGAUUUGUUGACUCCAAUCUUUGGAGCUACCCAAUUAAUCAAAUGACGAACCCUCUGUGCAGCUUUCCCUCCAUGAACGAUUGUUACGAUAGGAGUUAAAUAUUACGGUUUCUUUGUGUGGGGAGAUUUCUCUGAUUCGACCAAAAUCUUGGAAAGGUUAGGGAUCAGAGGAAGAUGAAAACGAAUAUGAGCUCCCAAAAUUUUGGAAAGGUUAUAGAUUUGAUUGAAUGAGGAUAGAUGCUAGAGAAUGAGUGAGAUAGAGGGUAGAAGGUUGAUUCCAAAGCAAAAUGAAGCCGGAGGCAGGGGGAGGUGAAACACAGACGAUGAGAAUGAGAUGCAGGAAGAGAGAGAAUAGUAUCUAAUCUGAUAAGGUAAUUUUACAUUAGAGUUAAAAUCAUAAUGGUCGCAAAAAUAAAUUUUUGAUUAAAAUUAAAAAUUAACAAGGUUAAUUAUCACACUCAUUAGCCAAGUGUCAUCAGUAUGAUGUAUGGUAAUGCUGAUUAGGCGAGAAAUAACAACAAGAUAAUGGAUGGAGUAACGGAAGGAGAAGUUUAGCAAGUUGAUAAAGUAGGAUGGUGCAAAAAUAAUUUCUAAUAGUAGAUGGGCCUCUUUGUUAAGUUGGUAAAGUAGAGGGAGUAGAAGUACUAUAAUCCCUAUUUAUUAUUAUACUCAAUCAAUGUCAAGAGGGUCUUCAGUUUCAACCAAAACACAACCGUAUAAAUUAAUAUACAGAGAAAACUACAAAUAAGAUCAUCCAAUGGUGAGCUAAAAUGCUAAAAAUGUUAUAUUUGGUUUUAACAUAUGCAUAAAUGUUAAAAUUUGGAGCUAAAUUUAGCCAGAGAUUUGACAAAAUGCUAAAUUUUAACUAAAUGAUCCAACUUAGUAUUUGCAGAAAGGAAUCUUGAAAUCUGUGAUUCGUUUUCAUCCGGAAGCGAAUGAACUAGUAUAUCGUGUGAAAAAUUCUUAUUCGAUAAAUCGCCCAGCACGUUUCAGAUCUUCGUCUCGAAAGAGCGGACUGAGAUACUAGAUAGGUAGCAUUGCGAUAGUUUGUUGAAUUUAUCCUGUUUCGUUUAAAUCGUGGAAUUUCCCUGUCCUUUGUGAAUUUGAAUUGCCUAGGGGGAUUCGACAUCUAAGUAGUUUCAUCUCUGAUUGUCAAAACCUAUAUCAUGCAGUCUUGCAACCCAUUUACUUUGAAUCAAUUUUCAUUUUCACUUUCAUUGUUUGAUUAGUUCUCGUGGCACCUAAACCACACUUCUUAUUACUCGAUUGAUACUUUUCAUAACUUUGAAUAAGAUACUUAAAGAGACCAUUGGGAGAUUCGACUAGUCGAAUUAUUUUGAGAACGCCUAAAAAUGUUUAUUUGAGACCCUGCAUACCUGGGCCAUCGUCCAAGAUCCCUCACCCCCAAGCAACGAAUUCUUAUGUAAAAUUAGUAAAUGUUUUAAUCUUGCAUGGUGUGUAUUCUUGUUGUAAACUAAAUGGUGUUAGAAAGAAUCCUGACUCUCUUAUUUUCUAGUCACCAGUAUUAAAUUAUAUGUAAAUAAAUUUUAAUGAUUUAGUAAUUCGAUUAAUAAUAUUUAAAGUUAUAAUCCUCUACUUAUUUAUUUAUACUAAAUAAGUCUAUCAAAUUUAAACUUUUAGCCAACCUAUUAAUAAUAAUAAUAAAUUAGUUCAAAUACCAAAUAUAUAAAAAAACGGCAGUGACACACAUUUUUAUUUUAACUAAAAAUGGUGAUUUUUUUUGCUCACUAUAUAUUUCAAUCCGAUUUUCUUUAAUGUUUAUUAUUGAUGACUUCACUUUUAGUAAGAAACGUUGUAUACAAUUGAAAUUUUAGAAUUAUUAAUAAAAAACGUCAUUUAUAAUAAAAAAAAUUCUUUGAUAUUAUUAUUUUUAUAACAAUUGACUUUUGUAUUUGAAAUUUCGUUAGGGUUUCUGACCAUGUAGAUUUCUCCAUUAAAUAGAACAUCAUUUUUAAAAGGAAAAAAAUAGUCAUUGUUAUUUGUAGUUCAUGUUUUACUUUAUGUAGUCUAUUUUGAACAUGAAUAAACUAAUAUAUCCCUACUUAAAAUAAUAACUAACGUAGUCAUUUUUUUUUUCAUAGUCCAUUUUUUUAUUUUGAUGGUGGAGAUUUUAUCUUGUGUGGCAACUCCAGCUGCCAGCAGCAGCGGCAGAUUUAGGAUUAGGAUGAUUCAAUAUACUAUGCCGAAUUGUAUAAAAGUUAAAAUACACUAAGCCGCAUAUGAAAACAUAAUAACCAAUCUAUAAAUAUAAAAAAAAUUACAUAAUAUCGAAGUUCAAAAUUCGAAAAAGCACUGGGCCGGGGCUCGAAAAGGCCCCUGCCACUAGCCAGCAGCUAAUACAAGGAGAAGAAAUAGGCCAGCUCUCGUAUCCAUGGAUUACGAAGUUUUGAACAAACCUGAAGCUAGGAAUCGUAGAAUGAAGGAAUAGAGAAUUGUGCAGAAGUACGGUAAUCAAGUACCGAACAAAUUGGUUGAGGAAAAGAGGAGCUUUGAAUCGAAUCGAGUGCUGUGGGAUUGCUUGGGUGAUGAGCUUAAGCAAAAUCAUGAAAAAGGAAUGGUGGAUUGGAGGCAGACGAGGUUUGAGCUUGGAGUAACAGAAAGUAAUAACCUGGAAUUUUGUGAAUAGAAAUUAAUGAUAAAUUCGAUAAACUAACUUACCACGAACGUAAAAUUUGAUAAAUCGCAAAAGAAUUUCGUUGUGGAUUUGUUAGAUGAAUCGAAGAAUUUGAUUUCGUUUGAACAAACAAUUUUAACAAUGAUUCUUUAUUUAAUAAGUUUGUAUUUAUUGAUAAGUUCUUAAUUCUUUUUUGUUUUGAUUUAGGAUAUCCUUUUUUUUAUGUAGGAUUUGUGCUUAAUUUGAUUUAGAGAAUUCAGUUAGUAAAUAUAAUUAUUUUUCCUCUCUCGAAAAUGAUAGUAUUUUAAUAUGUAAUCCGUAUAAAAUCGUAUUUUUUAACUAAAAAUAUAUUAAUCAAUUUAUGUAAAAUAAGAACUACCGCAAAAUAAAAUAAAAACAACAAAUAACAAAUAUCAUUCAUUACCUAACCGAACUAAACUAUAGAAAGCCAAAAAAGAAAUAAGUAAACAAAAAAACAAGAGGGACAUCAAGCCUGAUUCGAAGCCCCUCACGUAAAAGAAAAAACAUCAAGCCCACAGGCCGGCUAAUUAACAUUAGUUUGAUUUUUGUACAAAAUCGUCUCGUUGUUUUAACAUAAAUCAAUGCGUCUCAAACGUUUCAAAACUUAAUAAAUUAAUUUUAACUCCAUUUUAGAUUCAUUUUUUUAGCGAAACGCCUUGUGAUGUACGUUUUUAGGCGUUAUCAUAAUAAUCCGGCUAAUGAAUUUACUGGAGUCGAAUCUCCCUAGGGUUUCAAUGUCGUGACUACUCAAAAGGUUUUGGGGUGGAUACAACAUACACUCUAUUAUGACAUAGAACAAGUCAGUAGAAGGUGGCAAUCCAUAAAUAUCAUAUAUAGGAGUCUUUAGUAUACUAAAUUCAGGUAAAAGGGCAGGUGGUUCAAAAUUCAGAUCCUAACAUCCAAGACAUCCACAAAUAGAACGAGAACACUAAUCAUGCAUCCACUGACAUCCACAAAGUAAGCUCGAGAAGGAUUUUCAAAAAUCAAGAACAAUAAUUAAGCGCAAAUGAUCACAAGUUAAGUACCCCAAAAUUUAAAAGCAUCUGAAUCCCCCCACACUUAAACAGGACAUUGUCCUCGAUGGACCAAACAAUCAAGUGAGAUAGGGCCAUAAAAUAUGGUACUGACUUGGAGAUCGUGAUAGUGAGCACAUGUAGAGCCUGGACAAGGACCAAGGCUCCAUUCAAACGUCAAGUGAGAUCGAGACUUCCUCUAGAUACUAAUGGAGUUCUACAGCGAAAGAGACAUACAAGAAGCAAAGGAAGAAAGGCAGCCAAUCCAUUACAUCAAUGUAAAACAAACGAAAAUAAAAGCACUGGCUCACAUAAGUUCAACCACGAGAAACAGAAAAGAAAACUAAAAUAUAACCAUAAGUUUUGGAUGAAAAACUGAAGUCCCAACGAUAAAAAGGUGACCACUGCUCGUCCAUAUGCUGAUCUGGAGGAGGCGGAGGGUACCGGAAUGGUGCAGCUGCAGGGUAACCAUGGGUGUUGUAGGCGUAGUAAUGAUGCUGCUCCAUGAACAUGUACUCCAUAUAAGCAUCACGACGAGCACCCUGAAGUCGCAAGUCGGAGAUGUCAAAGGUGAGCUGAUCCAAUUGGGCACACACGCUGAAUGUAUCAUCAGCAUCAAAGUUAGGAUCGGCAAGAUCCUCCUCAGAAAGAUCCUCAGUAGCAUCAUCCUCAUUAUCAGUAUCAUCAACCCCCUCAUUGGGCGGUAGUGCUCAGACCCGAUGUCUGCCGGAAGUGUGUGUCACUGCCAGAGCUCUGCCCCCACCAAGUACUGUGCUGCCCUGUCGUUAGGAAAAGGGGUGCAUGCAUCCUGGCAGGCGAAGUACGAGAUGAGAGGAGUCACAUAUGAUCCACACAAAAACUGUCCAUUCUUUGCUCGUUCCCUUGUCCAUUGGAUCUUAAGCUGGAAAGCCACGAACGGAGCCAUAUGCAUCUUCUGGCCCUUUUGAAUAUGUGUUGACAACACACGCCCGUGUGUUAGGAGGCAGGGUUCUCAGAUGAUACAAAACAUGCCCGUGUAUUAAAAACACACAACGUCUGUUAUCAACACACGACGUCUGUUGUCUUCUGUUCAUCGAUUUUUCAUCAUGCACACACUUAACAACAAAAUGUCACCUCUGAACGUGCGAGAUAAAAUUUUAUCAUCCAGACUCGUCUGAAUCAAUACUCGACACACCACGAUACUCAAAUUUGAAAAAUUAAAGAAAAGAAAACACUCAAAAUUGGGGUUGCCUCCCGGGAAGUGCUCUUUCUUUUACAUCUUUGAGCUAGACCAGGUGAGGACUUCCCUCACACUGACAUCCUUGUUCUUGAAGUACAUCUUGGGUACCCUACCCUUCCGAAGGAACUUCUUCCGCCCAGUAUGUACAAGCUCCAAAACAUCGUCAGAUCGGAUAGCUGUAAUCUCGAAUGGUCUAAACCACUCUUUCUUGUCGACUUCUAUGUCUGGAGGUUCAGAAGCAAAAGUCCCAGAGUUGUACUUCUAUUUGAGUUCUCUCUUCUUCUUGGUUCCCUUCUUUAGGAUGCGCGCCUUGACUUUCAUGAGUUCUUCAGCAGUUGGAGGUACCUGCACUUUUAAAGUAGUGUCUGGCGGAGCAGGGUCAGUAAUAAAAGUAUAAACAGAGGCAUAAUUGAGAUCAUUCAUAAGAGGCCUAACUAGUGAUGAGUUGUUGGAGGUAGGGCUAGACAUCUCAAAUGUGAUCUCAUCCUCCUUAGUCCUUAAGGUCAAUAGCCCAGUUCUCACAUUAAUGGUUACAUCAGCAGUUACUAGGAAUGGUUGACCAAGGAGGGCAGGGGUUUGGGCACUCUCAUCCAUGUCUAUCAUGAAAAAAUCUACUUCAAUGCUACAUUUACCUAUUCUAACAAUGACAUCCUCAGCAAUUCCCCUAGGGUAACUGAUGGUUUGAUGAGCUAGUUGAAUGUGCAUCUUAGUAGGGCAUAAAUCAGGCAAGUCAAGGAGGUCAAACAAAGAGUAAGACAUGACGUUAACACUAGCACCCAAAUAUGCUAAAGCCCUAUCAAUGUGAUGACUACCAAUAUAACAAGAUAAAGUGAAACUCCUUGGGUCAGAGCACUUUCUUACCACUUUGAUUCUAGGAUCCGUCAUAUUUGUUUUGUUAAGGGAUAGUAAAGCUACCUCUUCCUGCUGCUCAACCUUCAACUUUUAUAUAGUAUGUUUAGGUAAAGGGCGAGUGUCUCAUCAGGUGCUUGAUCUUUUACUUUCUCUUCCAAAACCACUUCUCUGAGUUCCUCAACCAUUGUAGCCGAUGUUGCAUCUCCUAACUUCCUAUUGUUGGAGACAAUCUCCUUCAUAAAUUUUGCAUAAUUGGGCAUCUUGAGCAAAACUUCUAAUAGUGGGAUGCUUAAGCACGUCCGAAGAGCAUUGAAUGGUAGGAGAGGGACUUUAAUUGCCUAAAGAGAGUGGCAUUUAAGUCCCCAAGGUACGUCUUAAUCUUCUUCUCCAAGCAGUAUAAGAUGUAAAAGUCCUUCUUCGUGACCGCUUCCGAGGCCUUGGGAGACCAGUGCCCGAAGCUGUGUCUCCCAAACAAGUGGAUAAGCCUCAGCAUUGGCUUAUGCACCGAGUGGGCCCUCGAGUGCUCGAGAGAAAAGUAGUCUGAGGGCUUGGCGAUCCCACGCCAAAACUCUUGGUCAUCUGGAAUCUCCAAGCCAUUAAGCGUGGCAAGCUCAACGAGUGCUCCGCCUUUGGCCUUCUGAGUGGUGUAGAAUCCAAGAAGCACUCCAAACUCAUCCACCAAGAUGUUGAGGUGCUUCCCUCCAAUCCUGAAGAACUCCCGAACAACAUGGGGGUAGACAUUCUCAUUCAUGAUCAUAAGCUUCCAGAAACGACCGGAUCGAUUGCAAUAUGCACAGAGCUCGCUCAACCGCCCCUUCUUGGAGAAAGCGUCCAACACUAACCUUCCUGGAGUCACAACAAGAAGGUAUUGGAUGGUCUGAUAACUCUACCAACAAGCAGAGUUCUUCGGGAAGGUGCAAGCCACCUGUUUCACAAGAUGUUUUUUCUUCAAAAAAUCAAGUCAUUAGACAGAGUUAAGACUGUUUUGUUAGAUUUUGCAAUAUUUCAGACGUAUUGAUUUAUUUUUAAAAGAAUGAGACGGAUGUAUGCAAAAUUCAAACCAAAUGGACUUUUUAUGUUAGUUAGCCCGCACAUGCCACACCAAUUUUUUUCAAGAUAGAUGAGGCAAAAGUCAAGGUUAAGAAACCGAAUCAAAUUGGCCAGUCUAAUUGUGAACUGGCCCCUCGUCUGAUACCAUUUGGGCGGUUUGUGAAAUCCGACCUGUUCAAUCGAUAUAGUUUGACCGGUUGGACCAAAUUUUUAUGGCUAUACUUUUUUUUCAAAAAAUGUGGGAGUUGGAUUCAAACUGUGAUUUUUCAAACAGAGAGGAUGAGUGAGUACCAGGCUACCAACUCUACUAAUAUCAUAAUUUAAUUAAAAAAUACAUAUAAUUGAUAAUAAUAAAAAUUAUGACAAUUAAUUAACACUAAAAAUGUAACAUCUUACCAUAAAUUAAGUACAUUAUAUAUUAGAUUUUAAUUAUUUGAUUAAUAAAAAACUUCAAAUCAUUUAUAUUAUUUGAAAUUAUUUGAAAUCUCUAAAAAAAUGAAUCAAUAACUAUAUUUUUGACAAGUUAGAUUAUGGUAUUAAACUUUCUUUACUACUGGUUCGAUCCAGCUCAAUAAAAAAUCGUUCUAUCCGACUUAAUCAUAUUUAUUUAAUAAUUAAAAUGGUUCGUCCUGGAACAAACGAUCGGACUCUGUCCGAACCAUCAAACCCUUAACCCCUAACCUCACUGGUUCAAUCUCCUGUCCAAUUUUCAAAACUUUGGCCGAAAGCCGAAACUGAGGGUAAUUAAUAUGAAUAGUACCUAACAGUUCAUCAUUUAACAUUCUGAUACUCAACUUUCAAAACCCAUAAUUUUGGUCCUUAAUGAUGGUUUGAUGUUUUUUUGUCAAAUUUUGUUCAUCUCCGUCUAUUAAUUCCGUCAAACAGGCACAAGGGCUGGCCACCUCAAUCAACCACGUCAUUUCUUUGCCACCUCACCAUUAAUUUGUACGAACUUUUCAAAAUUGAAAUUAAAAGAACUUGUUCUCUCCUUUGUGGCUUUAUCUGUUCCUCCCAUUAUCAGAACAAGAAAAAUAAACAUCGAUUAAAAGCAUUGAUCGACGAAUUACGACGACGACUCCUCAAACGGUUGGAAAGUAACCGCCUUCACAAAUGGGAGUAAUUGUAGACUUUGUGGAAAGUGACCCAUGUAACCGCGCUCCGCCUUUUCCUAAUCACCACUUCGAACAUGGUGCCUAAUUUGACCCGGUCAAGACUGUCGGUUUUUGGUCCACGAGAAAUGAAGACCAAAUGAACCCCGAGAAGUAUCAGGGUCGUUUUGCACUCGGGGUCCCUUCGUUAGACUUUACUGAAUCUAGGUUUCAUGGUCUAGUUCCUCAAAUAAGGGAGGUAAUCUAUCACUACAAAGAAACCGCAAAGAAACUACAGACUACCUAAACUAACUAGAUGAGCAAAAGAAAAUCAACGGUCAACAGUUGAAAUGAGAUAUUUCUAGGUUUCGAGACUAGUCGAUGGUCAAAUACCAUUCACAAGAAGAUUUGGACACAAUGGUAACUGACUAUAACAUUGAUUCUCCUCUAGGUAUUCAUAGGAAUCCAAGACAAGGUCUUGUAAUGGACUACCACUACCAACAUGUAAGUGAUCAAGCCAAUUGAUAGUGAACACAAGGUGUUCAACAAAAUGAAUAGGUGCUAAGAAAGACUUAAUGACAUCACAAACACCAAGCAAGGGGUGCUAGUCACCUUAUGAUACCCCCAAACAUCCUAAUGACUCAAGUUGUCACUACUUAAGUGAUUACCAGAAUGCGCUCUAAGUGUUCGAUGAAAUAUCACUAAGGGAAUCCUCACGCUAAAGGUUGAAUUGGGGUGUGGCUUGGUCCACACACACCUUACUUCAAUUUUUGAUUAACAACUAACACAAUCCUAAGCAAAGUCAUACAAAGGAGAGUAUUGAUUUAACCUAAUUCAAACCAUAACACAGAUUACGUGCAAACACCAUAAUCCAAGCACAUCAUUAUCAUAUCAACAUCCAAGUGUAUCCAACCCCUCAUCAUCCAAAUCUACUCAUUUAGGACUCACAAAAAAUGGUGGGAGAAGAGGGGAAAGCGUAUCUAAAUUAUUGUUAUGACUGCUAUUGGAAUUAUGUCUCCUCUCUCCUCCAAAAAGGCUUUAAAUAGGAAUGUCUGUAGGGUCGACCCACUGUGUUGGCCCACAUGGGCUCCACAUGUCGUGUGGCCUCAUUUCCAGCCCGAGACUUUGUUCUUCGAUCGCACAUAUCUCCCUCUUUCAACCUCCUUUUGAGUUCCAGUUGGUCUUGUUAGAAUCGUCUCGUCGUCCUCUAUCCAUCAGAUACCUGUAACCGAGGACAUAUACAAUAAGAAAGUAAGUCAAACGGACCAAAAUGGUCCGUUCGAGAAAAUGAAAUAAGAAACCCUUAUUUCUUCCAACCAAUUACAAAAGAGGGUCAAACAAGAUCAAUAAACAAUUAAGAUGUGGUUAAAUCAACAACGAAUAAACGUGCUAUCAGUUUUUAAUUUUUGAAUGUUAAGGUGUCAUAAGAAUGAAGUGGCGGUAUGAGGUGAUAAGUCUAUGCGGCUGUUUGGAUGGAAUAAAUAAACGAAAGUGGACGGAUUUUGGCAAAAAGAACAAUAAAUUAUCGUUGAGGUCUAAAACAACUAGUUUUGGAGGUAUUAUUCAUGUUAAUUAACCCGAAACUGACCUCACACAGCCAUUACCGAAAAAGCUAAACCAAAACGCAGUGCACGUUCGUAGAGAUGGCACCAAUCCGGCGCACGGUAGCGCAUCCUGACGCUCCCUACCGUCUGUGUACACCACAGCCUUUCUUCCCUGCAUCUUAUCCUACGCACCUUUCUUCUGAUCACUCUCCUCCACUCCAUCUCCUACUCGACGACGGUGCCUUCAUUAUUAGGGUUUCCUGCUUCAAACUUCUACCCAUUCUUUGAUUUCACAUACACCUCGCAAAAUUUCCGAAGGGGUUUUUUCUUCUUCCACAUGCUCUCUUUUCCGGCCUUGCUUCUCGGUUCUUAGUGGGUUCUUCUUAGCUGCUCUUACUCAAUGGAUCGCAGGAGAGAAGCUAACGACUCGCUUUCUUACUCCAACCUCUUCAACCUCGAGGUUUGUGGAUUUGGUGAUUCUUUUGCUCUUCGAGUCUGCUUGAUUGUCUGCAUUCGUUGUUGGCUGCAUUGGGUUUGUUAGGUUGAUUGAAUUUCUUGUUCGACUGUGAUUGAUUCAUCCCUUUGUAGUAAAUUUCAUCACUGAGAGUUUCAUUCUGGUAAUUUCUUUUCCUGUUUCAUUGUUUGUUUUUGUUUCUAGUCUUUGAUGAACUUCAAAGUCCCACAACCAGAUGAUGAAUUUGAUUAUUAUGGGAAUAGUAGUCAGGAUGAGAGCAGAGGUAGCCAAGGUACUCCCCCUCCCCAGUGCUUUUUUCCCAAACAUUAUCCUUUCUCCAAUUUUACAUAAGUAGUUGGAUUCUCUGUUUGUAUCAUAUGAUCUCGAAAGUUCUUGCAUUGGCUCUCUCUUUGAUCGUCUACGUCUAUGAUAUGGGCAAUGUAAAGUAUGCUGACAUUUAAAGUAACUGAUACUGAUAUACAGGUAGAGCAAUAACAAAAUAUGGCAAUGGUAGUGUGACAGAGAAGGAUCCAAGUUCAGGGAAGAGAAGGAAGCUGGCUGUGGACAGUGACGGUGAGGAGGAAGAUAGGUCUUACGGGGCUGGUAUCACCGAGGAACGAUACAGAUCGAUGUUGGGAGAGCACAUUAAGAAGUACAAGAGGAGGUUUAAAGACUCUCCUAGUCCUGCACCUACUCCUUCUCGAACCGGAGCCAUUCCCAAGAAUGGUUUAGGAAGUUCGAAAACUAGGAAACUGGGAAACGAGCAGCAAGGUGUACAUGAUAUGGAUGUCACAUCCGAAUGGCAGAAUGAUGCCACAAUCCUUAAGCGUGGGGACCGCGCUCGAGAUCUUACUUCCAAGUAUGUUUUUGUUCCUUGACAUUGUGAACCAUAUUUAUUAGUGUUU